rnacentral:lncRNA from 1 species
AAAAUACAAUAUAUAUAUAUAUAUAUAUAUAUAUAUAUAUAUAUAUAUAUAUAUAUAUAUAUAUAUUAUUCGUACUUUCUAAUUUUUAAAAAUCUAUAUUUUAUUUUCUCAGAAUUUUAAGUUGAUACUCUUAACCUUCUUUCGUGAGAGUGUCAUCACUGUUUCGUUUAUUUCUGAUAAUUUAAGAGAGAGAGAGAAUAUCGAUUUUUGAAAGUCAGGAAUAGAAGGAGGGGGGAGUGAAAAAAGUUUAGGGGCAUUUGGUUCCGCGUAAAACGAACCGCAAAAUUAUUUUCGGUAUGAAAGUUACCUUUCCGCUUGUUUGGUUAAAUUUUUUUUAUGAAUUGGAGAGAAAUUGAAGUUUUCGUUUUUCGCUAUUUUUCAAUGGAAAAUGAAAACUCAAGCUAUACAAUUUUUUUUAUUCAAUCGAAUCAAACAAAUAUAAUUUUUUUCUGUUCAACUAACAAAUAUUGAUAGAAAAUUAUUUCUUUUUCCUACAAGUCAAAUUCUACCAAAGGUUUUUUUUUUUUUACUAGAAACAUUUUUUUACUAAAAAUUUGUAGUGUUUCAGAGCUUUUGAUAGGAUUGGCUUCGGUGUUAGUGACUGGUCGACACAUCUGGAGAGUGUGAGACUGAGUCGGAGUCGUUUCUGUGCGAAAUAGAUGCAGAAAUGGACUCGGCGCACUCAAAUAAGCAAAAUUGGAGUUUUGCCAGAUUCGGGGGCCCAGAACAGGUUUUGGGUCGCCCAGAAGUUGAGUGCAGAUUUGAUCAGAACUGGAAGCCAAUUUGGGUCCAUGUUUCGGGCGCCCGGAAGUGGGUCCGAAAAUUUCACCUCAUGAGUAUCGUUUGCACUGACACGUGGCUGGUGGUAGGUGAGUUUCGCCGGAGCCGGAUUCAGGCGCAGCACACCGCAAGCGGAGAGUCCGAGAAAGAAGCCUUGUGUAGCCUGGAGGAUUCGGGGGCCCAUAAUGUGGGUCCAGGCGCCCGGAAGUGCCCGUUUCUGCUGAGUUGUAGGUUUACAGCUGUUGUUCCUGAGGCUUAUGGGACCGUUCUAACACCCUAUAAAUAGAUGGUGUGAGACCCCAGUGAGGUCUUUUCACCUGUUCUUCACAGAGGAAUCUCAUGUUGCAUUUCUAACCCUCAGAUUUCCUCAAAUUGCAUCCAAUCUUUCAAUUGGAAGGUGGUGGAGUGCUGAUUCUGUAGUUUUUCAACGACGACCUCCAGUGUUUUGGUUCGUGUGCGAUGUAAGAAGGUCGGAUCGCGAUGAAACUUGGUUUGCUGGAUUCUAGACUACCGGAGGAAUCCACGAAGUCCUGAAUUGCAGAUUUUGGUUGAGGUUAGCUUGGUCGAUUUCUUAUUUUUCUAGACUGCUGGUGACUUUGAGCUGAAAAUCUAUUUUUCUGGAUUUUCUUGAUGUUAGCUGCAAAGGCAGUGGGAUUUUGGACCUGAGACACAUCACCCAUCAGUAUUUGCUGGAUUUGGGACUGUCCUCACCUGAUUUGAAGAUCGUUAGGUGAGUUUUGACAUUGGAGUUUGGUUAAUUUAGCUUAAGUGCUGAAUAUUUGUGUUGAUUGUGGUAUCUUGAUGGAAUUUUAGUGGAUUCGGAGGUUCAGAGCUGGAUUGAGGACCCUUGCUGGUUGAGAGGGAAUUCGGCUAAGUUUCCAGCAUCUCUGAGAUCUUAUUGCUGCCAGGAAUUAGCUUUAGAGGUGGGUGUAUCAUCGGUUUUUUACUCCUAAGUACAUGUUAGUCGACGUGUAUGAAUUGCGGCUAUUGUUAUCUUGUUGUAGCUCAAAUUCAUCGAUGAGUAUGAUAUAUAAAUCUGAAUUUGGAGUAUGCUUAGUAAUUAGAUAAAUUAUACAUGUCGGACUUGGAACCUGACUUAAGAGAAAACUAACGUUUUGACCUGUCAUAUAAUUUCACUACCUGAUUUAGCUCUAGGAGCCGUGAUGUGAUCGUAUCACCGCUGUUUUAGCGCGGUGGAUACCCAGGGUAGUUUAAAAUGCAUUUACGCUCGUGCUGGGAUGCCGAGCUUAUUUUUACAGUAGAGUCUAGGCUGUUUCGGAUUGUCGGGUGCCGUCGGGGUGGACGGUGGACCCAGAUUCCUAUUUUUGGUAUCAGAUGGUGCCGAGGGCACGUGGGUUCGAUUUCUAGACCUGUUUUGACCCUAGUUUCUUGACUUUGGCUUAUUAGAGCCUGAUUGAGCUCGACAGAGAUACGCUGCAUACUCGGUUGGGUAGCUUCCACGAGUGCCACUCCGGAGGCGGGCGCUGUGCUUUUGCAUUGGUGUCGUUCGUACAGGUUGGACUUGCUCUCCACGGAUUUGUUGGUGUGGAGGUAGCUGGUUAGUUGCAACCUGGCGGGACGGGUGUAUUCACAGUUCCAGGGACGGAUAUGAUUGCAGUCCCUAUUCGAGAUUGUGUCUGAGUUGACACUGUUCUACAGUUGGUUAGAUUAGAGCAUAAUAGUAUAGAGGCAGAUAGCUGUAGAUAUGUUCCAGCUCUCCUUACUAUUUCUUGCUUACCCUGUAGACUUAGUGAGUGGACCGAUGAGUUGAGGGCGGUACCCACUGAGGACUACUUUUUGUAGUAGUUCUCACGCCCAGUUGUUAUCACUGUUUUUGCAGAGCCGUCGUCUUCGGCUGCUGCUGUUGCUGAUCUUGAUCGUGGCAAGGGUGUCGCGAGUUAGAGCCCUUCUAGACGAGUCGCAGAGCUAGAGGAGCACCAGCUACAGGUAGUUGUAGUUUUUAGGUCUUUACAUACAGUUGUUGUAUCUCACCAGAGCGAGUAUUUGUUUACCUGGAUGACAUGUAUGUAUUGAACCACCGUUUUAUAUAUAGUUUAUUUUUCUAGCUGCUCUAUACUACUAUUUCUAGUAUUGUAUGAUUACAGGUACUUUUACUUCUUCGCUUCGUAUGCAGGAGAAAUGCCUAUGUAUAUGGCUGGUCUGUUAGCGAGCCCGGAAAAAUGAGUAAUCCGGGGCGUGACAAAAUUAUUUGUCACGGUUUUACAUUGAACCAAAUGGACCCUUACUUAGAGAGGGUUUUCUAAACCCAAUAUCUGUUUCAACUUGUUUUUCAAUAAUUUGAGAAUUGCUAUUUCUAGGCAAUCCAUUGAAUAAGCUUCAUACCAUUCUUUUUAGGAGGCAAAGUUCAAUUUCUCUAAGAACAGAUCCAUCUAGAGAGUAUAUAGUGAAGUGAUAAUACAUAGCGAUGUCAACGGGUCAAAUUCAUGAUGGAUUUUAAAAAAUCCAAAUCUGAACCUGACUCCAAACCUGAAACUCGAAUUUGAACCCAAACUUAAUGGAUUUUAAAAAUUCAUAUCCAAAUUCAAACCCGAGCACAAAUCUGAAAUCCGAACCCGAACCCAAAAAUCCAAAUCCGAAACAAUUAUUUCUCUUUCCGUAUUUCAAAAUAUAUUACAUUAAGUCUAAAUUUUUAAAAUAUAAAUUCAAAUAUAACAUCAAAUUGUUAUAUAUAUAGAGAGAGAGAGACAACAAGAAAUUUAACUUUUAGCAACAUUUAACUAGCAAUAUUUGACUAAGUCACACAAAUUAUAAAAUUUUCAAAGCCACAUUAAAUAUAUUCUAAAGUAGGAUCUACUAGAAUUAUUUUCUAUGUUCGGUAUUAUUUUACAGAAGUAGGUGGGUAAUGCGUUCCCUACUUUUAUUUGUCCUAAAAUGAAGCGAAGAAAACCUUUAAAAUCCACUGACAGGGAAUGGUUGGAUUCCAUAAGGUAGAGUUUAUAAAAUAUUUUAUUCAUAGACACAACCUACCAAGAGACACACAAUACAUAAUAUAUGAGCUUGCGCAAUUGAUAAGAUUGUUAUUGUAUGUAUCUUUAUAUCUUUAAUUUAAAAUAUUAUUGCAACAUUUUUUUUUAUCGUGAAAACGGUGAGUGUUAGAAAAAACCCAUAUCGAGUUAUACAGGAUGCAGUGGUGUCAAUUAACUUCUCACAAAUUCUUGAAUAAUCAACUACUCUCAAACCUUAUUAAUCUCAUAUAUUUUAUAAAUUAUUUUUUUAUAAAUUUUAUUUCGUCGUCCAACUGUCUCCUUAGUUAGUUACUGGUUCUUGAUAACAUUAUCUAUUUAGUGUACCUCUACUAAAGAUAACAUAUUACUCUCUUACAUUAUUAUGAAAGAGUUGUGUGUCUCUUCACUUUAAACUGGUCCACUUUUUUCUAAAAUAAGGAGAAUAACUUAGAUACAGAACGGGAUUAUUCAUAAUAGUGUUUUCACUUAGUCAAAUAUGGAUUUCUUAUCUUCUAUAUAUCUAAUAAUUAUCCACUAAUAUAGAGUAGAAAAAUCCUUUAUAUUAUGAAAUCUCCUAUCAAUAAUUAUUUUUGAUUUAUUAAUUUUUAAUGUAGCAACAUGAUAUAUUGGUGAGUGAGAAGAUGGAAUUCUAUAUAUAUUACUAUAUAGAUUGUAAUCCGUUUAUGUGCCUAUUUCAAUAUUUUAGUGUUAUUGUCUAGAAGGAUAUAGGAUUGGUAAGAUUGAAUCUAUAGUCUCUUCUUCAAAAAAUCUUUCUAUUUUAUAAGAAAUAAUAGAAUAUGUUAAAAAAUUUCAUCAUUUGUAAAAUUUUAAUAUAUGUUUUCUAGUGUCGUCAAAAUUUAUAGAUUCUAUGAUUGAGAGUAUUUAUUCUUUUCUGAUAUAAUUUAACGCUUAUUGAUAUUUUUCAUUGAUAUCACACGCUAAAUAAUCGACUCAAAUUUUAUUGUAUGUGAUAGAGUAGAAACCGGUGAAAUUGAAGCUCAUCACGCUUUAAAAAUAGGAAGCAGUACAAAGUUAUAGAAAUUGAAAGCCCUGUGGAGAUCAUUUGAUUAAUGCAGAUAUUAAUAUAAUAUAUAAGCGCUGGUAAAUGAUUUCAACCGCAUUUUUAAAAUAUAAUGAUUUAGUUUUAAGUAGAAUUAUGGUAAUAGCGGUAAUAUAUGAAUGAUGGUCUACUCUCUCGAUUUUACUUUAAAAUCUAUUCUUUCAUCAUAAUUAUUUAUUUUUUACAUUUAUGGAAGUUAUACCUUAUUUUAGUAAUAUAUUUAUAAAAUAUUUGAUAGGGUUGUAGUUAUUAUAUAUAUAACUAAAAUUGUCUUUUAGAAUUGUAGCUAAAAUUAUAUAUUAUAGAAAUAUUACAUAUUUUUAUCUUUUAUUUAUAUUUUUAUAUUUAGGAAAUAUCUAUUAUAAUUAUAUAAGAUUAUUAUAAUAAUUAGUGAGUAUAAAUAUAUAAACUAAAGUGUAAAAUAUCAAAUAGUCAUAUAAAUUAUUACGAUUGAAUCUCUAUUUAAGUAGAAUAAUAGAGCGAGCAUGACUCUCUUGGGCUUGUUGUUCGGGCCAUUAGUAAAGUGAAUAAAACGUUCGACAAAUAUAAUCUUUACUCUCUUUUGCUAGGUAGUUUAAUUUUUCUCUAACUCCUUUAUACCCAUGUUAGUGUGUUUUUAAUAAAGUUGUGUAUCAUAAAGUUAAGUAUCUCUAUGUCUUUAAGGUCUUCUCGUACUUUUUCAUUUUACAGGCUCUCCCUGCGGUUCCUUUUUCUCACUUUUAGCUACCCUGUGGGAGAAUAUAAUAAAUCGCACAUUUUUACUCAAAGCAUUUGUUUUGUACCUUUAUGUCUGGGUUUUACUUAUUGGAAAGACUUCAUACAGUACAACGAAUAAGAUGACUAGAUUUUCUUAUAUUUACUUAUGUACAAAGAUAUCAUAAUAUAAAUCCUAACUUAUGAGAGAAAACUUCGCAUUCAUUUCUUAUAAUGGAUCAAUAACUGAAUAAAUUAAAUUAUGAUUAUUGAUAAAAUUCAACUCAAUGUGCAAAUGAUUGUCUUAUGUUAUUCAUGGAAGAGUUUUUAGUUUUAAUAGUUGUUGCUCAUUUUGAACUAUCAAUUAAGUAUAAAAAUUUUACGUACUAUAAACUGUAGAAUAUUUUUAUUAUAGUUGAACUAUUUUUUAUUAAUUCAACUAUAAUAUAUUUGGAUUUAUCUUACCAAUAUACUUUACUAAUCACUUUUUAAUAUCACAUGUAAAUAUAAAAACUAGUGUAAUGAUAAAUUGCUGUAAACACAACUAAUAGGAUUAUCGAUAACUUUGAUUUACAUCUCUUUUAACACCUAAAUUCAACAAGAUACUAUUAUACGUGAUUGUUUAGUUAAUAUUUUGGUAUUAAAAAUGAAAAUAAAAUUAUGUAAAACCAUAUUAAGGCGUGGUUUAUUAUUAAUGUAAUUAGAUAUUUACUCUCACACUCACUAUUAUAUAAUAAAAAAAAUUCUAAGUGAAGGAAUACUCUAUCAUUUAUUAAUUUGUCACAAUAAAAUAAUAACAAAAAUCCAAUAUUUAUUUGGUCGCUUAUUCGCUCAAAAAUUACCGGUCCAAUCAUUUUUUCGGUUUUUAUUUUAAUACAAAAAUAGCAAGAUUAAUCGUCUGUCACCCGACAUUUUUUUCAGACAUACAUCGAGAGCACAAAUACAACUUUAAUAUACAUAUUUAUCUCUGCACACCCACUUUUUCUAUUCUCACAUUCUUGCUUCCUUUUUUAUCUACGUUACAUUUUUUUUUACAUACUCUUGCCUGCCCAAGCAGCUCUGGGUAUGAGACUCUGUAGGCUAAUUCUUGCUGCAGGCUAGAAACGGUCGUCUCGUCUCUCACCCUCUAUUGCUCUCGCCUCGGCCCUUGACCCUCGUCCAUGCCACCCCCCACUUCCUCCGCCCCUUCCGACCCCGCCGAAGCCCAACGCCGCGACUUUUUUUUUUUUUUGCAUUGUGUGUCUUUUUCUUUCUUCUCCGAAUCUUCAUCAAGCGCUACACACUUCUGUCACUCGAUCAGAUCGCGCUCUUCGUACAUUCACCAUAUACUCACCUCUCCCUCUCACCUUAUUUAUCUGCCACACACUACGAGACGGACAAUGUUAUAUGGGCCCACCCCUACAAGUUAAGUGUUUGGCUAAAAAGAUUUAGUCACAUUUGUUUACUGUUCAGUCUGUCGGGUCAAGACACCUGUACAGAGUGGUCACAUGUUACUUAAAGUGCUGAUACAUUAUAGCCCUUCGGAGCGGGUGGGUUCAGUCUUAGCACGCGUCCAGCUCAUCAGGCGCCGUAGCUUUUGAGCAGGAGAUUAGCUGCGAAUGCUAUCGGAGAAGGAUGAACAAUAUAAAAUUACGUAGGAUAAAGAUUGGAAAAAAACAUACAAAUAAUAAAAUUAUUAUAUUAUAAGAUACGGAUAGUGAACACUCAUAUAAUCUAAUGCACAUUCGUUAACUUACAAAAAAUACAUGAUUACACUGGUUGCUACUUAUUUAGAGAAUGAUAAACUGCCCUGACUUUAAGAUAAUACAUUAUAACUUCUUUCACUUGAAGUUUAUCUAGAAAUCAUUAUGUAUACAUGAAAAAUUCUUUUUCAUACUAUUUGUUAUAUCUUAACUGCAAUCACUUUUAAGUGACUAUUGUAUAACUGUUUCUACCUUUUAUCGCUCAAUAAUCAUGUAUUUUGGUUCUUCUUCAGCUGCAAAAUUCUGUAUAUUAUUCUUUUAUAGUUUCAAUGCAGUAAAAAUGCCGUGAUAAUAAUCAUUUUCUUGUUUAACGGUGUAAAGGCAUCAAGAGGAGAAUCCAAGAAAAGUCAAUUGAAUUUUUCGUUAAAAAAUUCUUUAAAAACUAUUUAGAACAAAGAUCCAUACUCUCGAUUUGUGAUCAUACAGAAAAAAAAAUAAACAUGUGUACUAAAUUAUCGUUUCUUUUAAAAUGAGGAUAUUCAUUUUCAGUCGUUCGAUGUUACCGCCCAUGAGAAUAAGGGAGAUGCACAGUAUCUAUUCCAAUAACAUAUUGACCAAUGUGCUUUCUCCUCUUUUAGCGACUAUUUUUUCACAAUAUAUUUGUUUAUUAUACCUAAGACACUUCAGUGAAGAGUAAGAGAUCAUUUUCAAAUGCGAACAAGUGAGCGAUAACAUCGCAUCGUCGAUUGAAAGGCUCCAUCAUCGAAACAAUGCAAAAUGAGAGAAGAAAAGUUAACAAUAGAUAUAGUCUUCUUCAGAGAGAUGUGUAAGGUUUCCUGUCUCUUUUGUUGCUCAACCUUAAUUUUCUAUGCCUAUUUAUUACAAAAAAUUGGUGCUAACAGAGGAGAAACAGCUCAUAAUAACUUCUUAUCUCUCUCUCUCUCUCACAUCUACUCACGCUUGUACCUAGUUUCUUCUCUCUCUUCUCUUCUGCUCUCUGUCUAACUAUUUCUUCUUUACUUGUUAUACACUAGAAAGUUGUAUAUAUAUAUAUAUAUAUAUAUAUAUAUAUAUAAUGUAAAAUAAAUUCGAAUUCGAAUCAGGUUCGGAUUCGGGUCGGAUACAUUCAAAAUUCAUAUCUGAAUCCAUAUCUGUCGGAUUUUUAUUUUUCAUAUCUAUAUCUAAAAUCAUAUUCGUUUAGUAUCGAAUAAAUUCGCUUAAUUUGAAUUUGAAUUCGAAUAAAAUCUCAGGUAUCCGUACAUACUGACAUCCCUAAUAAUGCAGAGAUCAUGCUCGGCCUUAACAUGAUCAGAGGAAUCAAACUAUAUAUAUAUAUAUAUAUAAUAUGGGGCCAAACUUACCACUUUUACCGGAACUAUUUUUAGAUGGAGUGAGGAAACAAACUACAUAGGGCCAAACCCAUCACUUUUACUAGAACUAUUUUAAGAUGCAGUGCCUGAAACAGUAGGGACAUUACUCUAGAAAAGGUGAGGAAAAGAUUAAAUGAUGCAGUCGGUGUCAGAAACACAAAGAGCAGGUACUAGUUAGCAGCUACUGGAUCUUACAUUCUUAUCCUGCAAAAUGCAUAUGCCAGCUAAAAAAUAUAUGAAAAACACUUCAGGCAAAGGCCCCUACUUUUUUUGGCUGGACAUCCCAUACAUUAAAGGUGAAUAUUUCUUUUGUAAAAUUUUUUAUUUUUUUAGAAAAAGGUAGUGCGAUAUCUGCUUUAUUUACUAAGUAAAAUAAAAUUGGUUAUAAUUGUAAGUGUCACGCCCCGGGGUCCCUUUUUGUUUGGAAAAACAGCGGAAACGACAGAAAUUUUUUUUUUUUUUUUUGAAACACCUGACCCCAGGGUAUGUNCGAAGUUACUAUUCACUUAAGUCAGACUUCCGGGUCGCGUAACUUCUCCGUUUUAACUCGUUUUCUCCUGAAAUUUGACGAGUACACUUAUAAUUAUGUUACACACAAAAACAUCGUCAAACAAAAGGGUUUAAUCACUCAAUCAAAAUCUCAGUUAUUACAGUAAGAUACCAGUUAACGGCCUCGAUAUAGCAAAAACAGAAAGGUUGAAAAGAAAAAAAAGUAGGAACGAGGAAAGGAACCGGUAGCUAAAGGCAGUGCUCGUCUCACACACUUAAGAGUCUUUGCUUAUCGUUUUACUUGUCGGGUUUGAGCAUAUAUCUCGAAAAAAGGAUAUUAUUUCUCUUCAGCCAAGUUGCCCACCAUAUGAUAUCUAAAGUGGUAUGCACCUUCUUUUUUUUACCUAUAUCUCUUGCGCAGCCAAAGCGGUAAGCCCUUUCUUUCCCUCUCGCCAAGUUUUUCAUAAACAUCUUGAGUGUAAUUUUGUUGGAAUUUUUUUACCGUCCGCAACACAAGUGGCAAAAAGUAUAAUGGUUGGUAUAUAAGAUUUCAAAUUCAAAACCUAGUUAAUUUACAUUUCUACCUAAGUUCAUUUAUUAAGAAAAAUGUGCAAAACGGAAAGCACGCUAACUUUCUCUCUUUAAAAAAAAAAAAACUUUUUCCUAAUGUUCCUUGAUGAUUUCAUGAAUGUAUGUUUGGCCAAUAAGAGGAGAUUAAUUCCUUGCAAAUGCUUCAUCUUUGCAUUGAUGCGCAAAACACAUUCUCUUCUCUUACCACAUUUUUAGAGAAAGGUAGAAACAAAUUUAGUUGAAAAUAUAAAAUAACAGACUUUGAACUUAAGAUCUCAGCUACAAACCAUCCAGUACUUUUAUUUGUGCUAAGGACAAUAUUUCUUCUUUUAAUACUAUUACCAAUAUAUGGAUACUAAUGAGGAGCCAUUAAUUGGGAGUUAUUUAACUGCACUAGUAUGAAACUGAGGUAGUAAAACUGAAGAAAUUAGUUCUUUACUAGGGCCUAUUUGAGUAUUUGAUUCAAAUGAAUAUAGCUUUUUUAGCUAUGUGGGUUGGUAGAUGCCAAGUAUAUAUUCACAAGUGAAAAUAAAUACCAUGGUAAUUCAAAAAAAUUUUAGAUCUUUAAGUUGUGUAAGUUCUACUUGUGGGUAGUGCAAACUUCUAUUUUUCGCUUCGGCUACUUGAUUGUACGUAAUUAUAACUGUACUACAGUUAUAACUAUAUGCAGAUUCAAAUUCUACAUUUGUCAUGGUGCAUUUGAAUUCAACUAUUGCACUUAUACUUACACGAGAAGACUCAACUGUAGCAUAGCAGUUGAGACUACGCCCAACAAUUUCAAUUGCAGCAUUUGAAGAGAAUAAUUUUAAAUAAUGAUAAGCUUAUCUCCCUAAUAACCUGUUAAAUAGAUUUUUUUUCUUUCCUACAUAGAGAAAAAUCUCACUCACCUCAUAAAUAAAAUGAUAGAAUUUCUUAAAUACACUUUUCAACCGUAUACAACCAAAUAAAUUAUUUAUAACUAUAGCACUUUCUACUACAUCCAACUAAACAGGAUAUACAUAAUUAUAAUUAUUAUAUAUUUAACUGCAUGUAUUUUUAGCUAUAGAAUAUUUAUAAUUACGAUUUACGCCGAAUCAAAUUAGAAAAAACUAUUUGAGAAGCCAGAAAGCAAACCAAUAUGCGCUUUUUACAAGAAGAUAACAACUUCUUCAAUAAACAAAGCGAGUUUGAUGAGAGAUGAGCAAUUAAACAAGUAGUAAAUUAAUUAUUCGCUAAUUAAUGAAAAGAUUCUACAUGAUUGAAAAAAAAAUAAUAAUAAUACAAUUGGUACUUUAAUAAUACCAUAUCUGUAUCCAUAUUUUUAUUCAGAUGCAAAUUGGGAUGCAGAUUUGUGCCGCAUGCUAAAUUUUUUUUUUUUACCAUAUUCUUUAAGAAAUUAUUCUGAUUUAGGAAUGUGUUGAAUUUAUAUUUCAAUUAAUAUUAUGCAAAUAAUAAUAUAUACCAAUAUGUAUAUAUAAAUAUAAACUAAUUAAAAUUAAUGUAAAUAAGACACACGGUGCAAUUGAAGACUCACACUCAUAUUCAAACUUUAUAAAUCUAUAUUUUAUUCAAUAAAAUAUAAUAUUUUAACAAAUAUGAAUGCAAUUGUAGCAUAAUUUAUAGCAAGAUAAAUUUAAAACAUAUUCCUUUUAUCUUUUAGAGUGAAAACAGUCAAAUACGUGCGGACUUGUUAAAAAAACCUUAGGAUAUAGAGAAUGUGAUUCCGACUACUAUACUCUUAUUAUAAGUACAAUCGUCUUCGUAUUCAUAAGUUAUUUUCAAUAAUAAAACUUUCAAAUCAACAAUCCAUAUAGUUAAAUAUUAUCUAAAGAUUUUGGAACUUUUAGAAAUUAAAUUUCAUAAUUUUUAGACAUCAUCAACCUUGCGAUCAAAAUUUUAAAAAUUGAUAAUUUUUAACGGCUGGUAUGUGAUACUUGCUAGUUUAAUGGUACAAAAGAAUCUAUUAAAUUACUUGAAUUUUUGAUAGAAAUUUCUAUUCACUAUCUAAAUAAUUAAAUAUUAGUAACUCCGAUCUUAAAUUGAAAUAUCAAAUUCUCUAUUUUUGAGGAAUCGUUCGAUUUUAGUGAUUCAUUUUAUCUCCAAUUGAUAGACUUUAUUAUAAUUUUAAAAAAUUAAAAAAUUUAUUUUUUAAAAGUUUUAAAUGUUCUAAAUUGUAUUUAACAGUACGGAUAAUCAAUUCGGAAGCUCUCUAAUCGAAAAUAAUUUAUGAAUACAAAGAACUCUAUACUUAUAAAAGGAGUUGAGCUAGAUUACUAUCGAUAGCAAACGAUCUCUGUUGCCAUCCAUUUGUUUUCGAUGAUGGACCCUUCAAAUUGAUGAUCGUCACCGUUGAACAUGAUCUAUACCAUUUGAAGUAUUUAGAAAUUAAAUUUCAUACAUUUUCGAUAUUGCUCUCUUAUCUAUCGAGUGGACACAAAAAUGAACGGCUGAAAAUGAAUAUUCUUAAAAAAAUGAUGAUAGGAGUCUUGUAAUCAAGAUCAAGAGUAUAGAUCUUGUUUUAAAUAGUUUAUAAAAUUUUCUAACAAAAAUUCAAUUGAUUUGGAUAUCUUUAUGCCGUUAAACGAGAAAACGCUUCAUUUCGACCAUUAUAAUUACAAAUUUUGAAACACUUUAAUCAUUAAACAAAUGAUGUCGAAAAGAUUUGAAAUUUGAUUUCUAAACACUUCAAGUAUUAUAGAUCAUGUUCAACAGUACCGAUCAUCGAUUUGGAGGCUCUAUCAUCGAAAAUAAAUGGGUGGCAACGAAAUCCGUUUGCUAUCGAUAGUAUUCUAGCUCAACUUCUUAUAAAAGUAUAAUAUAUGUAGCCUUAUUUUAGAAAACAUUAAAUUUUGAUAUUCAUGUUCGCACGCUAUGGAAUCUAGCGUCCCAAUUCCUGGAUACUACACAUAGUAAUAAAUUUUUAUUUUUUUUAGAGCAAAGAGAAGGGAACUGCUUCCCCAUGUGGUUCCCAUGCUACAUAAGGAUAAACCUUAUUUCUCACUCCUCGAGAUUCACGCCACCAUGGGAAAAAGGAGGGUGACUUUUUUUGUGUGAGGAGGAACCUCAAAGCCCAAGAAAUGUUUAAUUAAUUAGGAGCAAACCUAUGUGGUUUUUUGUCAACAAAAUACACUUUUAAUAACAAUUUAAAAUACAAGGGCUUGCAUGGGGAGCCAAUGUGGACUCUGUGAUUUGGUUUCCGUACUUUAAUAACGAGAACAAUUUGUUGGAAUAAAUACCGCAACGAAAAUUUGAUUGUGAUUAAAAUCUAACUAAUUUUGUGAUAACAAUAAAUAAAUCAACUUACAGAUAAACGCAAAUAUUUCAAUAAAGAUUUGAUUUUAUCCGGAAGCGUAUAAGGCACUGUCCUAAGGUCUAUUCCCGUCCUUACGUGCGGGAUUAACCGAAAAUAACACCCCACAGCACGAUUGUGAAGGAGGUUGACGGAGAUUCUCAACACCCAGUGGAUAAGGGAAAUGUUUAAAAAUAAAAGAUAAAAGAAUAAAUGGAUAGAGAUUAACCCAUGAUCAAAAAUCUUUACUGCUUGCUCUAUCUUGAGCGAGGAGAAAAAGAAAAGGUAUAAAAAAGGAAAAAGGACUUCACGCUCUUUCUCAUUACGCUGAGAAAGAAGCGUAACCCACGCAACGAAACGCAAUUCCGUUUUGCAAAAGAAACGGAACGGGAAAAAAAUAUCUCGUUGGUUUUUUUCUUACUAAGAAAGAGAAUAAAAUAAAUAAAUAAAUAAAAUAAUAAUAAAUAAUAAAUAAUAAAUAUCAAUAAAUAUUAAAUGGAUUUAAAGUUCAAAUAAAAUAAAAUAAAUUUAAAUUCAAAUUUUGAGUUUUUCUCCAACACAAUUUAAUGCGUAAUUUGCAUGAUUGGACUUGUUAAUAUAAUAAAUGAUUCGGUGACAACACAUGCUUUACGAAAAAAUUUCUUUGGUGAUUGCAUGUUAUUAAAAGAGUUUGAUUUUAGCUUAUUGUAAUGCUUUAGUUAUUAUGAUUUUGUAAAAUAGUGUAUUUCACCAACACGUACGUACGAUAAUUUAUCUCAAUCUGAUAGCAUGACUCAUAGACCAAAUGUAUCAAACAUAUGCUUCAUCUUCUCGGAGUAUGACAAAUUAUCUAGCAGGUGGAAAACAAUUUUUUUUUUUGACAAAUCACGGCUUCUUAACACUUAUAAGGAGCUAAAUUUAAACUCCUAAAUUAUAAUAAAUUCUUUAUAUAAGUUAUCACAACUUAUCUGCCAUCCAAACAAGUCCUAAAUGUUUAAAAAAAAAAAAAAGGUUAACCUUCUUUUAUCAGAUAAUCAUAUCAUAAUUGAUUCACUAACUUAAGAUGCUGCAAAUAUGAUUAAUUAAAUAUAAUUUUAGAAUAAAAUCUUUACUUUUUUACUGGUCAACAACUAAAAUAUAAUAUAUAUGAAAGUUUAGAAACUCUGAAUUAUUUUUAAAUUAAUAGUGUGGUGACUGAAUUGUCACAGGGACAUAGUAAAAGGGCUAUCCAUAUAUUUUACCCUAAUUACGCACCUUCUAAAAUGGAAAAUGUCCAUAGAAUAUUCUACCACCCAUAAAUGUAUAAACGUCUAAUGUUCCCCCGUACACACGCACUGGUCCCUCUAACCCUAAUCCCCAAUUAAUAAAAGGAAAAACAUAUAAAACUUUCCAAACUAUAAAUCAUUUCAAAUCAAGUAUCCAAUCUCUCAAAAUUUUAAUUAUAUUAUUUAUUUUUUUAAUUUACUUAAUUUUAGUCCGUUAAUGAUAUUUUGAUUUUAUUUAAGCUAAGUAUAUAUUUUAAUAAAUUUAUAGUUGUAAGAAUUAUGUGAAGCAUAUUAAAUCUGCAAACGUAAACUAGGUAUUCAAACUUUUAAGUUAAAAUGCCGUUAACUGAUUCAUAUCAAACGAAUUAAAAGGCUGCAUAGUAAAAUCAAUAUUUUAAAAGGUUAAUUGGUUAAUUUAAAAUGAUUGAUAGUUCAUGCAAGUAACGUACUUUUUAUGAGACGCCGAAUAGUACUAUAUACAAAAUAUAGUAAGGUUAAAAUUCUUAAGCCGACUUAAGUAUUUUGGGCAGUGGCUAAUCUCAAAAGAUUGAGAGAGUUAAGCGUGUUACGAUGAAAGUAAUUUUAAGAUGGGUGACCAAUUAGGAAGUUGAGGCAUCACAGUUAGUAUCAGAGCCAAUUAACAGCCGGAAGUGUAAAAUGAGUCUCGGCUGAGUCAGAGUUAUACAGCGGAGAGAACGAGACUCUCAUACUAUUGACUGUUGCGGGUAGAGCACGGCUCCCCACAAGAUGGGGAUGAGUCUCAUAUCGUCUGAUACUUGUGAAUUUGAACCUGACAAGAACGUCAGGGUUUAAAGAGGAGGAGAAUGUGAGACACCGAAUAAUCUUAUAUAUAAAAUAUAAGAUGGCUAAAACUCUUAACCCGACUUAAGUAUUUUGGACGGCGACUAGGCCCGAAAGAUUGAGAGAGUUAAGAGUGCUAGUACGAAAAUAAUUUUAGAAUAGGUGACCCAUUGGAAAGUUGGAGCGUCACAUUUUCUAUCUAAAUUUUAUCAAGCAACUUGGGUGUACCACAAUGGGGUCACCGAGAGGGGAUAAAAAUGUAUGGAGACCCCCUUAACUAUAAAUAUACUAUUUUUAUUGACAACUCUUUUAGUUUUUUUUAAAAUUUUUAUUUACCAUAAAUGUAAUUCAAACUAUUAGAGAAAAACUUCCAUUUUUAGACUAAAAUUAUUUAAUUCUAAAAAAAAUUAAAAUCAAGGAGAUGUUGAUCACAAAAUAAAAAGUUGAGGGUACAUAUUGCUUAUUUGAAAGUGACUUGAGAGUGUCUCAAUGCAUUUUUGCCUAAUAGAGGGAGUUAACCAUCUUAUUGAGCACCUUUAAUUGGGUAAAUUUUAAUUUACCCACCUAUAGUUUAGCGUAUUUUUAUUUUAUCAUAUUAUGGUUUAGAAAGAUAUAUUUAAGUAAUCUUAGAAAGAUAUACUUAAGUACUUAACUACUUUAUAAUUAUUUUUUUAUGUCAUUAUAUGAAACUUUCACUAAACAAGAUAGCAAAUUAAGUGAUAAAAUUUAAAAAAUCAUAGAGUAGUAAAAUACAUAUUAAAGAAUGGCAAAAUACUAUAUCGUACCUCCAAUUGGUUUGUAAAAAUAUCAGCUUGCUUAUAUGUCGUUUAAUGAUAAAUUUUUAUGAAUAAAACAAAAAUAACAUCGCAGAAUAAUUAAGUACGACUUUCUAAACUACCGGCGGCAAAUUGAAACCGCGCCAAGCGACAGGGGGUUAAAGUAAAGUUUACACUAAUAAAUUAUAAGGAGAAUAAUAAACUGAGGGAAAAUUGGUUUUCCUUCUACUACUAGAUACACGUUAAACUAUAGAGUACUAAACUAAGAAAGUGCGAAACCACAGAGGUGGUAUUUGAAGUUUACCCUUUCUAUUAAGUAUACAUUAUAUAUGAGCAUUUCUUAUACAUUCAGUGUAUAACUUUUUUUACACUAUGAAAUUUUAAUUUUGUUAUAUUAAUAGGGUACUAAAGUGAGAAAAUGAAAACACAUGAUACUAACUUUGUAUACUUUAAACCACAUGGCACUAAAGUGAGAACGUGGAAAAGUACAGAGGUGGUAUUUGAAGUUUGCCCUUUUUAUUAAUUAUAGAUUGUAUAUAAGUAUAUCUUAUACACUCGGUGUACAAUUUUUUUUUAUACCUAAUGAAAUUUUAAUUUUGUUAUAUCAACUAUUAAAAAAUAGAAUUGGUUCAUGCGCUAAAAUUUUACACUUGGUAUAGAAAAAAAAAAAAAAGAAUUCAAAUUAUAUAUUGUAUAUGAGAAUGUUUUAUACACUUGGUGUAUAAUUUUUUUUUACACCGUAUGAAAUUAUAAUUUUCUUAUAUCGACUAUUAAAAAAUAAGAUUGGUCUAUACGAUAAAAUUUUAGAGUUGUGGGAAAGAAAAAAAAGAAAGGGUGUUGAGUGGAAAAAAAAAAAAAAAGAAGAAAAGAAUGUUGGUGAAAGCAAAGAAAAAAAGAAAGGGUGUUGAGUGGAAAAAAAAAAAAAAAAAAAAAAAAAGAAGAAGAAAAGAAUGUAUGGUGAGAGCCCCCCCCCCCCUCAGGAGGCAGCCGUACCCCCUUGGGUUCUUCUUCCAUAAAAUGAAAUUUUAAUUUUGUGUAUCAACUAUUAAAAAUAAAGAUUGGUUCAUGCGCGCUAAAAUUUUACAUUGGUAUACGAAAAAAAUAAAAAAAAAUUCAAUAUAUAUUGUAUAAGCAUAUUUUAUACACUUAGUGUAUAAUUUUUUUUUACACGUAUGAAAUUAUAAUUUUAUUAUAUCGACUAUUAAAAAUAAGAUUAGUCUAUACGAUAAAAUUUUACACUCGGUGUAAGCAAAGAAAAAAAAGAAGGGUGUUGAGUGGAAAAAAAAAAAGAAUGUAUGGUGUGAGAGAAAGAGAGAGAGAGAGAGAGUUAGAGAGAGAGAAAAAAAAAAAAAGUGGGGUGCCCCCCCCCCCCCCCCCCUCAUUGCUUGAGGAGCGCAGCGUCCGCUUUUGGGUUCUUCUGUCAUGUAUAGAAAGAUGGUGAUGGUUUGGUUUUCUCUCUCAAAUAAAUUAAAAAAGGAAAAACUUCAAAUACCCUAUUUGUGGUUUCGCAAUUUCUCACUUUAGAAUCAUGUGAUUUAAAAUAUAUCAAGUCAUAUAGUACCUUGUAGUUUCGCACUUUCUUACUUUAGUACUCCGUGGUUUAAAGUGUGCCAAGUUAGUAUUCUGUGACUUUAUUUUUGUAUCAAAUUAGUAUCCUAUGAUUUCAUUUUUCUCUUUUUAUUAUUCAUUUCGGAGUGUUUUUUUCAUUAAAUCAAUGACAAAGUUAAAACUAAAGGGUACUAAAAUGAAUAUUCGAUAAACCUAGGUAGGGUAUCUGAAGUUUUUUAUAUAUAACUUAACGAAAUAUUAAACCACAUGGUACUAAAGUGAGAAAGUGCAAAACCACAGGGUACUAAUUUAAUACAGUUUAAACCACAGGGUAUUAAAGUGAGAAAUUGCAAAACCACAGAGUACUAAUUUGAUACACUUUAAACCACAGGGUGCUAAACUGAGAAACUGCGAAACCACGGGGGUGUUUGAAGUUUUCCCAUUAAACAAAGGUAAUGGUUUGGUUUGGACCACUAACAAAACAUUCCUUAAUAGAUUAAAUAAGGAGAAAACAUUAACCAAAAAAUAAUCCUCCUGCAAAGAAUCUAGAGGUUAAACAAAAGAAAAAAUUUCAAAUAUCAUUUAUGUGAUUUCACACUUUUUCACUUUAGUAUUCUAUAUUUUAAAAUGUAUCACUUUCGUAGCUUGUGAUUUUAUUUUUCUCUUUCUGUUAUCUCUCCACUAAUUUUUUUGUUAAAUCAGUGACAAAAUUAAAGCUAAAGAAUGUUAAAGUAAAUAUUGGAUAAACCAUAAGCAGGAUAUUUAAAAUUUUUUGUAUAUGAUUUAACAAAAAGUUAACAGAGAGGGUGAUGAAAAGAGAAAAAUGAAACCACAGGAUGCUAAAUUGAUACACCUUAAACCGCAGGGUACAAAAAUGAGAAAUUGUGAAACCACAUAAAUGGUAUUUGAAGGUUACCCUAAAUAAAAAGGUACAUAAAAUAACUAGUGUUAAAUAUAGAAACAUUAUUGUUUACUGGUUUAAGUUUUUGAAGAAUACUUAUUUUUUUAUAUAAUUUUACAUAUUAUCAAAGUAUGAAGUUUUAAACUCGGAUUAUGUCAGGCUCCUAUUUUUUUUAUUUUUUUUCACUUAUUUAACUCAAGUCUAAUCUAAACAUAAGAAAGAGUGUUAAAUAUAAAGAGAUAAUUGCCUAUAUACUCCUCGUGCGUCUGGAAAUAUCCGAUCUACCCCUAUUUUUUUUUUCUUUCUAAAAUGUCCCUCAUAUGUUCCACCGUUAUUUCAAAAUACCCCAGCAGUUAUCCCCUGUUGCUUAACUCAGGUUAAACAUCGGUUAAAUGUGUACUAGAGUUAAAACCUAUAUAAAAUACCUAUUUUACCCCUACCUUAUUAUGCUAAUGUCUUAAGUUAUCCUCUUUCUCUCCCAACUUGAUCGCCGGCUCCUCCGCCUCCACUUCGCCUCAUCUCCUCCCAGACCAUGGGUGAGGAUGACGCCCGCCGCCUCCCAGACCACAGGCGGGGACCUGCGGCGGCGCGGCGGAGGAGGAGGAGGGGUGCCGCGAUGACGCGGCGACGCUGCGGCUGAAGCUGGCGACGAUGGCGGCGAUCCUGGUGGCAGGGAUGGUGAGCGUGGCGAUCCCGUUGGCGGCGGAGGAGGAGGAGGGGUGUCGCGAUGACGCGGCGGCGCUGCGGCUGAAGCUGGCGGCGAUCCUGGUGGCGGGGAUGGUGAGCGUGGCGAUCCCGUUGGCGGCGGAGGAGGAGGAGGGGUGUGGCGACGACGCAGCGGCGCUGCGGCUGAAGCUGGCGGCGAUGGCGGCGAUGUUGGUGGUGGGGAUGGUGGGCGGCACCUCCUGAGCACGAAGAGCGGCUUCUUCGCCCUCGCCAAGGCCUUCGUCGGGGCGUCAUCCUCGCCACGGGCUUCGUCCACAUGCUCCACGACACCAAGGCCGCACUCACCGAUCCCUGCCUCCCCCGCUUCCCCUGGCGCCGCUUCUCCUUCUCCGGCUUCUUCGCCAUGGCCGCCGCCCUCGCCACUCUCGUCCUCGACUUCCUCGCCACCUAGUUCUACGAGCGCAGCGGAGGACGACGAGGAGCACUCCAUCAUCACGGCGGCGCCGGAGCCACUCGUGGACGAGGACGAGGACGAGGGCUCCGCCAAGGGCGGCGACGCGGUGCACAUCGUCGGGAUGCGCGGGCACGCGGCGGCGCACGGCCACAGCCAACACCAGGAGUAUAUUAGAAAGACUUAGAAACAUAAAAAGAGUCUAUUGGAAUGGGCAAAAUGGUAAUUUUUCAAAAAUAACGGUAACUCACUAACGGAAUUUAACUCCAGCGGUAUAUUAGAAAGACUUGGAAUAUAAGAAGAAUAUUUUUAACAUUAGCCUUCUAAGAGGGGUAAAUAAGAAAAUCGAAAACUUUUCAGAUGUAUAUAGGCAAUUGUCCCAAAUAUAAAAAUAUCAUUCUCUACGGGUAUAGUGGUCAGUAAUAAUUUGGUACAAGCGCCUCACGGGCCCAAUUACUGUGAAUUGGCCAAACUAUGUCAAAGUCACCCAAUCACAUCAUAUCAUUUGGAUAUAAGUAGUCCAAAAAUGCCGCACGACUGGACUUUCAUAUUGCUUAUUAAAAUAUUUUGAGCCUAGUUCAAACCCACAUAAGGUUAAAAAAUGAUAUAUUUAAUAAAAUUCAUUCCGCCUAAUAAUUUUAGUACUUAGAUCGGAUCUACUAAUAUAUAUCUAUUUUUUAUUUAUUAAUUAAUUAUAUCAUAUGAACAAUUAACAAUUUUUUUUUAUUUUUUUGAAAAUAAUUUGGCACAAGCACCUCACGGACCUAAUUAUUGUGAAUAGGCCAAACUACGUCAGAAUCACUCAAUCAUAUCAUAUCAUUUAGAUAAGUAGUCCAAAAAUGUCGGAUGAUGGGACUUUCAUAUCACUUAUUAGAAUAUUUUGAGCCCACUUCAAACGCACGUAAGGUUAAAAAAUGACAUAUUUAAUAAAAUUCAUUCAGCCUAAAUUUUUUUAGUAAUUAGAUCGGAUCUACUAAUAUAUAUCUAUUAUUUAUUUAUUAAUUAAUUAUAUAAUGUGAAAGUAGUUAUUCACAUAUGAACUCUUAAGAAUUUUUUUUAUUUUUUUUAAAAAAAAUCAUCUUUUAUUAUUAUUAAUUUUUUUUGGAAUAUCCAUAGGCAUUCUAUUUUAAGAGGCAAUGCAAAGCAGAGACCCAAUACAACGAACAUAGAAAAUUAACCGCAAAACUAUAUAGCAGAAAAAGACAAUGAUACAAAUAAAAAAAAAAACAAAAAACAAUAAAGAGGAAAAUAUUUGUGUGGGUCCCUUAACCUAAUCAACAACUUUAAUCAACAAACUAAAGUUAUUUCAAAUAUAUCCAUAUAGUUAAAUUUUGUUAGUAAAUUAUUAGCGAAAGCCGUUAUUUCUGUAAAAUUAUUAUUUUGUCCUUUUAAAUAUACUCCAAAUUAAAGACAGAAGAAGUAUUUUGAUUUUUUAAAUUUUGGUAGACAUUUAACUCAUAUUUAAUCCGAAAUAACUUAACGGAUGAUAACUGCGGGAGUAUUUUUGAAUAACGGACGAAUAUAAGAGAAGUAUAUUGAAAAUUAAAAAAAAGCAGGAAUAAAUUAGAUACUUCGGAAGUUUUGAAAGGUAUAUAAGCAAUUAUCCUUUUUAUUAAUGAACCUAGAUAUAAAACUGAGAUGACGAGGUCUCGAAAAAAGAAGAAACGAAAAAUAAACAAAAGAAGAAAAAAACUAAAGAUUAUAAAAUAGCUCAAUUGAAAUAAAAUGGAGGGAAGAAGAAGGGAACAAGAAAGCUCGGUUGCAUAGUGAAGGAAAGAUUACCCAAACAGAAAAAAAAUCAGAAAACACUUCAUAUGCUUAAUUUACUGUGAUUUACUCUCUUUUUGCAUUAGUGUUAUAUAGUUUUAAUUAGGGAUGUCAGUGGGUAUGGAUACCCAAAAUAUUAUCCGAACUCGAAUCCGAACGGGACGGGUUUACCCAAGCUAAACGGGUAUGGAUUCGGUUAUGGAUAUAGAAAAUAAAAACCCAACGGAUAUAGAUACGAGUAUGGAUUUUGUAUUUACCCGACCCGAAUGCGAACCUGAACCUGAAUAAAUUAUAUAUAUACAUAAUUUAUUUUUAAUUAUUUAUAUAAUAUAUAAAAUAUUUAAUAAUUUUUUAUCCCUUACAUUUUUAUCCAACGGUAUGGAUUUUUAAAACCCGUUGGGUUCAGAUCCGGAUCCGAGUUCGGGUUUCGGGUUUUUGGUCGGGUACGGAUAUGGGUAUGAAUUUUUAAAACCCGCCGAGUUCGGAUUUUAAUUUGGUUUUCAUGUUCGGAUUCGGGUUUUUAAAAAUCCAACCCAAACCCGACCCAUUGACAUCCCUAAUUUUAAUUAUAUCACUGAAGUAUUCUGUGAUUUCUAUUUUAUUUUUGUUAACCCCCAUUAUCUUCUCCGUUAAAGUGUCAUAAAUAUGACCAUCAAGAAUGUCCAGCAAAGUUCGAUAAAAACAACAUAAGAUCGUCUAUGAAUGAUGAAUGUUAAGCCAUAAGAGGGUCCUUAGUGGGACAUUCUUGACAAUAAAGUGCGAGCACAUGGAAUUUUAAUAAAAAUAAAAAUUACAGAAUACUUAAGUUAUACAGCUAUAAAAUAUAUAGUAAAGUGAAAAAAAUAAUAAACUACAGAAGAAAUAUUUAAAGUUUUUUCAAAAAAUUAGGAAAAAGAUUCCGCGAUAUUGCCUGAAUUUUGGCAGAUUGGACAUCAUCUUUUAGUUGUAAAUAGUGAGUUUACUCUAGUCGUGACUAUAAAAAUUAGGGUAAAUUAUACUUUUGGUCCUCAAAUUAUGAGGCGCAAAACAUUUUUGUCCUCAAAUUUGAAUUUAUGGUAAUUUUUUUUACUUAAAUUUUAGAGAUCAUUGCAAUCAAGUUCCACAAUCUAAUUUAGUUGGCUAAAUAUUAAUAAAUUUGUUAAUAUAGAAGUGAUGUAAAAAUAUUAUGAUUAAUAAUAUGACAAUAAUUAAGAUGUCGCAUUAUUUCUAUAUCAACAAUUUAUCAAUAUUUAGUUCACUAAAUUGGAUUGAACGAUUUGAUUGCAACAAUUAAAAACUCUACACACUCAACUUUAGGAUGGAUCCGUGUUUGGAUACUUAAGUUAUUAGCGUACCCAUCAGCUCUGUUUGAGCAGAUCUAGGUAAUGACUAUCUGUGAACGACCUGCUUAAAUAUCCGGUGUGAAUCUGGUGUAAAUCGAGUAUAUAUUGGGUACAUAUAUCCGUAUGCAUAUUUAUGAUAUAAAACACUAAUAUUUAUUACGUCAUAAGUUCAAAAUAAAAAUACAAAAUUUGUAAUAGUUAUACAUGUAUUAAUUUCUCUAAAAUACAUAAAGCCACCAUCUAAACACAUACAACAAUAUAAUAAAUAAAAAAAUUAUAUUAAUAAGUCCAAACACAUAUAAUACAAUUACAUAAAACACAUACAACUAAUCAGAUAAUGCACACCAUAAAUCUAAAAUACAUGCACCUACUACAAUAUAGUUAAAACACAUACAAAAUAAGACAUAUAUAUUACAGUGAAGGAAUAAAUAUCAAGUUUUUUUAAAAAAAAUUCUCAUUGCCUGUUUUGAUGGUCAAUUAUUUUACCGGAUCAAGGUUUGGCGGGUCCGGGUUUGGCUCCGAAUAUGAAUUAUUAUUUCAGCUCAGUACUCCGGGCCGUGUCGGGCUGAGUUUUUGCAGCCCGCCAGGCCCGGCAUGGCACGGCCCAGCAUUUUAAAUUGCUAGGCCUGCCGUCCUGGCCACCUGGGACUACAUGUAGGAGGAAUUCUACACUGCCACACUUGCACCACAUCAUCAAUAACAAGUCAAUCACAUUUCUUUUUUUUCAAACAAAAGUACAAUAAAAAUAUUUUUUUAUAAUCAUGAUCGGACAUAUAUUUUUAAAAGAAAAUAUUUGAUUGGCUUGUUACGCCACGUCACCAAUAUACCCGUUGCAUUCUAGAAUUUUUCUACAUGUAGGGUGCUGUUGCCUGAUGGGCUGCUGUAGCCUAAUGGCUUAAUCUUAGAUAGGGAUGCAAACGGGGCGGAUCUGGGGGUGGGAGCCACGCCCCGCCUCCCCCACCGAAUAGCAAAAUCCAGCCCUGCCUCACGCUCCGAAUCCGUGACGAGUUAAAAAAUACAUCCCAUAAUUCGUCCCGCCUCGUAAGCAGCCUCCCGCCGGCGCCCCGAAUCCGCCCCGCCAACUAAUAUUUUUUAUAAAAUUAUAAUAUUAUUAAUAUUUUAUAAAUUAUAAAUUAAUAAUUUUUAAUAAUAUUUUAUAUAAUUUAAUAAUAUCAAUUAUAAAAAUCAAAAAUAUCAAUUACAAUUCAAAACAAAAUUCAAAAGUUUUCAAAUACAUUAGAAAUGAGAGUACUAACUUAUUUAUAUUUUGAACUUUUUUUGCAAAUACAUUAUUUUUUAGGACUAUUUUUUUAAAAAUAUAAAUGAUUUUUGGGGCGGAUUCGGGGCGGAUCAUGGCGGGGCGGAUUCGGGGGCGGGUCAAAAUUUCUCCCGUUUCCUGCCCCGAAUCCGUCUCGGAUCGUAAAAUUUACCCCGUUUUCCGUCCCGAAUUCGUUUAUUUUCUCCCGUUUACUGCCCUCGUCGGGGUCGAUCGAGGCGGGAGCUCCACCAACCCGGAUCCGUUUGCAUCCCUAAUCUUGGAGGAUGGGCCCAACGGCAUUUAAGUAGUUGGGUCCCAUUUUUUUUUUUAAAAAAAAUACUUUUUUAUUUUUAUUUUUUCAAAAUAAGGGUCAAAAAUAUUAAAAAAAUAUUUUUUUAGUCAAAAUGACGACAAUGCCCUCACUAACAUUUAAAUUUUUAACGGUUUAGAGAGCGAAUUUGGUCAAAAAUUAAAAAAAAAUUAUAUUAUUUAAAAAAUUAAUUUUUUUACAUUUAUAAAUACUCCUCUAAAUCUCCAAACUCAUCACCAACAAAAAUUAUUCAUUCAUUUAUCUCUAAGCUUUAAAUUUUAUAUAAUAUUAAUUAACAAUGUUAAAAAAUAAAUUUAUUGUUAGUGUUUAAUUUUUUUAAAAUUUAUGAAUUUUUUUUAAAAUAGUUGGAUAUAAUUAUGUAAAUUAAAAACUAUAAAUCAAAAGUCUAUAAUCUAAAAACUACUUAUCUCUUUUUCUUCAAAAGAUAAUUUAAAAAAAAAAAACAAAAAGGGCAAUUAGGAAGAAAUUCCCUAUUACUAGGCCGGCACGAAGCCCGGCCCGGCCCGGUUCGUGCCGGCUGGGUCAGGGAUCCAGGCCGGGCCUUCCACUCUAAAUAAACGGGCUGGCCCGGUCCGGCAUGGGUAAUUUGGGCCGUGACCUUUUAUUUUUGGAUAAACUUCAAAUGCUAUUACUGUAGUUUCGCGCUCUUACACUUUAGUAUCUUCUGAUUUAAAAUAUGUCACUUUAGUAUCCUGUGGUUUCAUUUUUCUCUUUUCGUCAGCACCUCCGUUAACUCUCCGUUAAAUCAUAUAUAGAAAACUUCAGAUACUCCACCUAUAGUUUACUGAACAUUCACUUUAGUACUCCGUAGUUUAUCGAAACUAUAUGGUACUAAAGUAACAUAAUUUAAACCACGGGGUACUAAUGUGAGAAAGCGCGAAACCACAGGGUUGGUAUUUGAAGUUUGUCCAUUAUUUUUUUGCUUUUGUUAGAAUCAUGGAGUUUUGAGUUCCUCUAUAAUCAACAUUAAUCUUUUAAACUCCGGAUUUUUAAUAUACUUCGUAAGAAUUUGAUUGAGUCCAAGUUCCAGGUGAUGAUGUCCACAUAUUAAUGAAUUGCUAGACCAGGUCUAGGGGACAGCAUUUCCACACCAAAUUAAAGAGCACACUUUUCAAAUUUAGUGGUGCAUGAUUUGGACUUUUGAUUCAACAACACAAAACUGAUUUUUCAGGUAGCAAAAGUGCUUCAAAUAGUACUACUGCAACUGCAUGCUGUUCAGCUUCAGCAGUAACUGCACUCCCUCUUCUUCUUCUUUUUUUCUUCUUUUUUUAAAUUUUUUUUUUUCUUUCUCUUUGUCAUCUUCUCUCUGUCUACAUUCAAGAGAAUCUAAAUUGGAUAUAUGUUGUUUUCAUUAGUCCCAAUGUAUACUACUUAUCUAAAUUAUGAGCAAUUUUAGAUCUACUAAUCAAUCUUUCAGUUUGCUUGAUUUGAAUCGGUUAAUGACAUUUUGACUUUAGCGCAAGUGGCAAAGAAUUUGAUGACUGAUACUCGAGGUUCCAAAUUUAAAGCCUAGUUGCUUCAUAUUUUCAGUUAAGAUUAUUUCUAAAAAAAAAUAAACGAAACAGGUAACAUGCUACAUUUCUCUCAAAAAGAAAAAAAUAAAUGCAUCGUUUAUCUUUACGUGUAUAGGUAGUACGCUUCAUGAAUUUUUGAAACUAUAAAAUCAUUAAAAUAAAAAAUAUAUAUAUAGCUUAAAUUAUGAAGGCAAAGUGUUUUUAAUUUACUCAAAUCAAACAAAUUGCAAUGUUAGGUAGUGAAAAUAAAAAUUUUAAAAGAUUGAGUAGCAAAUUCAAAAUGGUUUAUAGUUCAGAUAAAUUAUAUAUAUUUUUACUUUUUUUAUUAUAUACAGACCAAAUUAAUUGAGUCUAAUUAAAUUUUGUUAGUAAAUAAUGAUUGGAUUUGAUAGAUAGAUUUGGGUCAAAAUGUUGUUAGAUAUGUUCUAUGUUUGGGCUUUCAUAGUGUGAAGGUUUUCAAGAGUAGUCGUAAUACCACUGUUUAUGUUCAUGAUAGAUAUCAGAUGAACUAUGUCACAUGUACGAACAAAAAAAAAGUAAUGAAACAAAAUAACUAGUAUGAAACAGGUGUGAAAAUUAAGCUCAAAACAUCUUAAUUGACCUGGAGUAGGGGUAAAUGUGGUUAGGAUAAAUUCCGAUUGAAUUGAACAUCGGAUUCGAUAGGAUGCGAAUAUGGAUAUCAAACCGAAUUAUCGAACCGAACAAACUUAAAUUAGUAGAUUCCGUUCAAAUUUUACAUAUAAUUUGGUUCGGUUCAGUUCUAAAACUAAAAAUUAGAAAAACCGAAUAAAAUCAUUAGUCUUAACCUUUAAAAAAUAAUGUAUUAGUUUUAAAUAAUAAUCAAAAAACUAGAGAUAUUAAUUAUGAUUGACUUAGAUUAAUAAUUUUUAACAUCAAUUAUGAUUAUAUAUUUUAUUUAGUAGUUUCAAAAGAAUUAAAUCGAAUAAAAAUAUUUUGUUAAAGCCAAAUAAACCGAACCAAACCCACCGAAUUAUUUUGGCUUGGUUCGUUCAGCUCAUGUACCGUUGAUUUGGAUCGGUUCGGUUUUUUUUUUGAAAAAUCUAUAAAAAUCAAACUAAAGCAAACCAAACCAAUCAAUAAUUAGCCAAGUGCAAGAUGAUUGGUAUCUGAGAUCUUAAAUUUUAAAUCUAAUUGCUUCAUAUUUUUAACUGAAUUAUUCCAAAAAAUAAAUAAAAUUGGUAGCUUUUUCUCGAUCUCUUUCUCCAAAUUUUGGAUUUGGAUAAAAAAUUAGGUAUCUAUACCCAUAGACAUCCUAGUAGAGCUACCAAAUACUCUAUAUCAUAUGAGCUUGUUAUACGUAGACAUGAUAAUUUGUACUUGUGAAUGCGUCAAAAUUUGUGCAAGACUUUGCUUUUUUCGACAAAUAAUAACUAUCACAGCUCACAAUAUAUUCCACCCAAAAAAUAUAAACAAAAAGUUAUAACUUAUAUUCCUUAAUCUUUUGUUAGGUACUUAUAAUAUAGUUUUUUAUGGGUAAAUUGCAGGGGGGUCCUCAAACUAUGAGGGUUGUGACACCUUGUUCUUUAAACUUUAAUUUAUUAUAAUUUUUUACUUAAGUUUUCAAACUUAUUACAAUCAUAUCUUAUAGCCAAUUUAGUUUACUAAAUAUUAAUGUAUUACUGUUAUGAAAGUGGUGUAGAGUGUCAUGAUUGGCGAUGCACCCGUAAUUAAGAUGAUACAGUACUUUUACAAUCAGGAAUGCGUCAAUAUUUAAUCAAUGUUUUAAAAGUUGGGUUGAGCAACGACUCCAAAAUAUUACUGAGUCAAGGAUCACUGGUUUAAUCGGUAGGUCAACCACACGCUGAACUAGUAACAUAAGCAUAACAUCAUAAAUACUUAAUUAUUAUUUCUAUUUUUGGUAUAUAUAUAUUAUUAAUUAUUAUAUUAUUUUAGUACCAUACUUAAUUAUAGAGUAUAGAUUUCUAAACCAAAUUAGGCAUAUGGAAGUUUUCAAGUUUCACAAUUUAUAAUACCAAUAUAUGUUAUAGAAAAUAAAGUCAGCCAAAUUGAUUUUAAGCGAUUAGACUUUAAUAUGACUUGAUCAAAAAAUUCAUCCAAUUUAAUUAAAACUAGACCAGAACAGUUCACUAGUUCGAUGGUUAAACUACCGGUUCAAACGAUUUAAAGCAAUUUUUUUGACUUAUUCCGUAUAAAGAGUUGAACCGACCGCUUUAUAAACUGGGUCACGAUUGGACCGGUCCAACUAACCGAUUCAGCUCAGUCCUUAAAUCAUUGCGCAUAGUUGGUGAACUAAAUAUGCAAUUUACUCUUUUUUUUUUAUUUAGACAAAUGCAUGAUGUGAAACAAAAGAAACAUUAAUUAUAGGCCUUGACACACUAUCUAACAAAGUGUCCAUUUAGUGAUUGAUUAAUUGCAACCACCACAAAAUUAUGGUGAUCGUAUAUUCAUAUCUAACAACCAUAAAUUAAACACCACCCAAGGAUUAACACGGCAGUGUUCCCCUAAUAAAUUUUAGGGAUUUAAAACAUGGUAAAGUAAAGCUGAUCGUGUUAUUUGAAAGACCGAUCCGUUAGAAAAUAACCUGAUUGGAUUAGUCAUAACAUCUCAAAGUUACCAUUUUGAAAAAAAAAAAAUUUCCUUUUGUUUUGUGAUUUUAUAUAACAAUUGAAGAAUUAAUUUUUAUUCUAAAUUGGAAAAUAACAGAGAACUUUAAUAACUUUAUUAUUCAAUUCACAAUUGCUUUAUCCCGUGUCGACANGUAAAGCUGAUCGUGUUAUUUGAAAGACCGAUCCGUUAGAAAAUAACCUGAUUGGAUUAGUCAUAACAUCUCAAAGUUACCAUUUUGAAAAAAAAAAAUUUUUUUUUUUUUUUGUUUUUUGGCUUAUAAAUUGAAGAAUUAAUUUUUAUUCUAAAUUGGAAAAUAACAGAGAACUUUAAUAACUUUAUUAUUCAAUUCACAAUUGCUUUAUCCCGUGUCGACAAUGAGUAUAACAAACAAAAAGCCCGUGCAAAGCACGUGCUAAAGGUGGUAUCUAAAAAGCCAGGAAAAGGAAAAUUCAGGAGAUUAGCAUGUUUGGGCAUUUUCCAAAAUGAGAACAAGCAACUGCUUUUUUGGAAAGCUGUGUUUGUAGCCCCCAAAGUUUAGUCAAAUUCUCUUUAAAUUUACCUCUUUAAACUUUUGAAUUGGAUAUUUGGUAUUUUUAAUACUUUAAAAGUGCUUUAUUUGCAUAAAAUGUACAUAUGCACCAGAUGCAAGUAAUAAUUUUUUUCUGCUAAAUUAAAUAUAAAUAAGAAUUAAGAUGAAAAAAAUAUAAAAUUUGGCGUGCUAAAUGGUUCAAAUCAAACAAAUUGAAGGAUUGAAUAGUAAAAUCAAAUUUUUUGAGUUUUUUUUUUUUUUACUAAGUUAUGGGGUUCAACAUUUAAUUUUUGGCUUAAAUAACGCAACGGUAUAUGAGAGUUGUUUUGAAGAAGGUAUCUAAAUCGUCAAUAAGAUUAGUCGCCGACCAUUUAUAAGAUUAGUCGCCGACCAUUUAUGCGAAUUCCUUCUAAUACAGAACCAUCAUUUACAACCAAGAGAGCACCACUAUAUAAAACCAUACAACAAACCGGAAGAGAAAUGAGAAUUUGAAGCUCUUUAAGAAUUGCAACUCACAUGCAUUCUAUUGCAGAUGACGUGCGCAUCUUGCGCAUAAAUAAGAAUGCAAAUGGGAUAGAUCUGGUGGCGUGAGGGGUUCUCCUACCUCCAACUCAGUUUUCCUAAUAGAUCGUGAAGGAUUCGGUGUGGAUUAAUUUUUAUACUAUUUUUUACUCCCACUUACUUCUCCAUUCAAAACGGAUCAAAACAGAAGUAAAUUUUUAGUGAAUAUUUGACGAAUUUGGACAGAUCAAGGAAAAAAAAAAUGAAGCCUACUGGGAGAGAUGGAUUGGGAUUGAAGCUCCGCCAACCCGAAUCCAUUUACAUCAAUGCAUUGUUUUUCUCGGAGCGGCAUGAUACAGCAUGUGAGUUCUCCCGCGAAGGCGGCUCAACCAUGUAAAAAGACCGAAUUAGCCUCAUGAGAUUGAUUCUCGGAGGGAAUCAGUAGGGGUGUGUGUUGCUAAGGAAAAAAGUCUAAAACACAUUAGUUAUAUUGCUGAUGUGAGAUUUUCAACCAAUCAGAUCUAUUCAUAAUUAUUAAAAAAAUAUUUUUAUUUUAUAUUAUUUAAAAAAGAAAAGAUAUAAUUAGUUGAGAAUAGAUAAUAUGGUGUAAGUGUUACGGUGCAGAUUUUCUGGUUGAUGAGACAGUGGCUGUUUAGGUCAACGGCUGCUGGCCAAUGUGGUGUGGUGGGUUCCGUUGAUUGCGAGCUCUCUUUUACGCCACGGAAAAUGACUUCCAACUGUAACCGAAGGCAACAGGUUCCCAAAUCCCAAUGCCCCACAUUGCCCCUCACUUGAGAGUGCAUUUAUUUACUUACUAAUAAGAGAUUAAGGGUGCGUUUUGCUUCAACCUAAGUAAUUAAAAAUACAGUAUAGUUAAAAAUAUAUUUAGAUAAAAUUAUAAAAAUUGCAACUAUAUAUAUUGAUUAUACUUAGUAAAUAAUACUGUAAAUAUAAAUAAUAUGUUCGGGUACAUGCAGUUGAGGAGUAUUCUUUUAGAAUGAUAAAAUUAUCUCCAAAUAAAAUAAAAAAGUUUGAACCGAAACAAUACAAAUUUGGAUGUAGAAGUGCAUGGAAUAUAAUCUCAUAUUCAUAAAAAGUUUAUGUAUAAUUUGAUUUCGACGAUCAGAGCAAAAUAUGAGAGUAUUCAAAUUUUAAAGUAAAAUUUAUCAAAAAAAUUAUUAUUUGUAAAUAAUACAAAAAAUUGCCAAACCGUUUUAGAAAAUUAUUUCAGAAAAAUAUCUUUCCUAUUAAAUUCAGGCAAAUAUUUUAUUACUUUUAAUCAAAAAUAAAUUUACAAACUCGUACUCCCGCGUUGUUAUGCCACGUGGCACACCAGGUGCACCAAAUAAGCGCUGUUUCCUGUUCGGGUCCACACAGCAGAUCCAGAACAUCACGAAUCGACUAGUGGCAUAACUCGUAAAUAAACGCCAUUUUCCGCCCAUUUACAUUUCUCCCUACAUAAGUACUCCAAGUUCAAUCCCACAUUCUCCAACGGAUACCUCCAUCUCUCUCUCUCUCUCUCUCUCAAUCUCUCGAUCUCUCGACGCUCCAAAACCUCGCCUUUAACUCUCGAAACCAACACCGAAUCCGCGGCACCGAAACCCUGCCUCCGUAGAUCUCCAUCGCGUCGAUCGAUACCAUCAUUACCCCCACAAUCCCCCUUCUCUUUCGAGGAUUCGGCGCUCAGAUUCGGUCACCAUAUCGUGUACGUUGUUGCCGCGAUUUCACGGGGUUCUUUUUGAUCGAUUUUUGGGGAGCUAGGGUUUUCGGAGGAGUAGGUGAGUGUGCUUGUCGACGUUUCUGGUGCUAAAUAGACGUUUUUUGAAUUAAAUUUGGUUAAAUGUUUCCCUUUUUUCUCGGGUGUUGGAUUGAUUUCUCUUUCAUGAGGUUUAAUUUCGGGUAUUGGAGAUUAUGUUCUGCUAAGGCUAUAUUUUCUUAAGCAGAUGUUUUUUUUUUUCCCUUGUUGAUUCGUUUCAAGAGCAAGUUGAGUCAAAUUCUUGAAUUUGAUUAAAAAUAGAUAUAGAGAUCGUGUCAAAAUUUUAAUUUUGUUAAAAAUAAGUUGCGCGAUCGUGUUAAAUUUUCGAUUUUGUUAAAGCUAGGGUUACAGGAAUGUGCUAAACUUUUGAAUCUAACCAAAAAUAGGUUUAACGGAUCGCGCUAAAUGUUCGAAAUAGGUUUGCAGGCGCUAGAAUUUGAAUUUUGGUUUUUUUUUUCACUGCAGUGUAAAGUUGAAACCUUUGGCAAAUGCUUGGAAGGAGAGUGUUGUUGUUAUGGCCGGGGGUAGAGUGCAGGUGAUCAGCAGCAGGGGUUGCUCACGGCUCUUUGUAGGUGCUUCUGUUCCUUCUCUUUGCAGUUUGAGCUCCACCGACAUGAUGUCGUCGGCUUCUUCGUCGGUGCCCCUCUUGGAAUCUACUGGGCCUUUUUCGGGUCUUGUGAUAUGCGUCACGGGGCUAUCGAAAGGUAAUUGCAAAUUAUUUCUCCUCUUCAUGUUUUCCUGUAUGUUUCAAUCUAAGGGCGUGUUUGGCUCGCCUCUUUUUCACCCUGGAAUCAUAAUCGGAAUAGAUGAAUCCGUUUGUCCGUGUUUGGUAUGCGGGAUUUUCAUUCUGAUUCCGAUUCCCAGGUGAAUGGGAAUCUCUCUAAUUACCCCUUUUUUCAAUCCAGCCUAGGAGGCCGGAUUGGAAAUUGAAUCCAGGCGGAAUGGAUUUAUUCGGAUUAAAUUAACUUUUUUAAGCUUAUUUUUUAAUUAAAAUAAAAAAAAUAAUUAAAAAAGAGUUCUAACACCUGUGGAGAGCUUUGGCUGUAAAAGAGUUCUAACAGUAGCUUUUACUUGUUUAAUGCUGUGGCUGAAAUGAUGAAAGUAUGCAAACUUCGAUCUUUGACUUCUAGUCCAGCCAAAUCCAUAUUUUUGCUAGGUUCUUCGUUGAUUGCAUUGAAACACUGUCUUUGGACUUUCUAUUCCAUGCAGAUUUAGGGUUUAGAAGCCAAAUAAAAUAAGAAAUUGUUUAGCUGACUCGUGGCUAAAGUUUAUAAAGCUGCACAUUGCAUAUUGUCGGGAAGAAACUGCAUAAAUCAUGUGCCUUAUUUAUGACAAAUUGUUGAUUCACUGUAGCAUUGUGGAUUGGAAUUUGAAAAUACUGACACUACUGAAGCUUUUUAAGAGUGAAACCCUGAUUUUUAUGCUAGAGUCUUAAGUGCUGUAAUCUUGACCUGUGACAUAUUUUGUCUAUGAGAUGACUCUUACAUGUGCUAAUUGUAAUACCUUUUGGACGACAGAAGCAAGAGAUCAAGUCAAGACUGCGACAGAGAAAUUAGGUGGCCAGUAUAGUGCAAGCCUACAUCCUAAGUGUACUCAUCUUGUUGUACAGAUAUCCUAUUCAAUAACAUAAUGUCGAAAGGUUUCUGAUUUUGCUGAUAUUUCUUGCUCUACAUGUCAUGCUGGCAUUUUUCUUUAUCAAUUAAUGUUAUAGCAAGAGUUUUGUGCGUCUGUUGGGGCCUUAACACUUAUACAGCUUUGGUGGACGCAAGUUGGAACAUGCGCUUAAGCAUGGAGCAAGGAACGGUCUUCUAGUCAUUACGCUGGCUUGGCUUGUUGAUAGUGUGAGGAGAAAUGGUGAGUGCUAGAUUUGCCUCUGCUACACUAUUUGCAGUCAUAGAGUUGGAAAAUAACCUACGACCACCUUGAGUUGCUUUCUCUAUGACUCGUAAUUUUACCUUCUUGAUUGGUGAAAUAAGUUAUCGGAUCUUGACUUCUACCAUUCGCUAGUAUUUAUUGUGUUUCUUGUUGAUUCGAUUUUGCAGUGAGGCUGAAUGAAUCUUUAUACAGUGUAAAAAAUAUUGGAGAGAAUGGCUUUCCUUUAGGGGAGUUCAAUCGUCUUGUUGGCCUUCCCGGCAGUGAGAAGUCCUGUCUUCCAGUAAUGGCCUUUGAAGAUCAUAAAUUUUCAAACACAGCUAGGCAACACCAACUAGAAUCCACUAGAAAGGAACUAAAAACUGCCGGUUCAGUUUUCUCCAAUGACUCUAUUUAUAUUGAUUCAGAUAUUUCAGGUGAACUGAAGGAAAAGGUAUGCUCUUGUAACGAGUGUUGUGGGACAUAAACAGUUUACUGGGUUUUAUUUAUAUUGCCAUUAUUAGUGUAUGCCUCGACUGGUUUAUUUCUCAUAUGAUUCAGCAAUCGGUUUGUUUCAUAUAAAUAUCAUAUUCUGCAGCUUGUUGAUGCAGCUUCCAGAGAAGGUGCUAAAAUGUUGGAGCACUGGUUUAUUGGUUGUCAGGCAAAUUAUGUUGUGUGUGAAGGUCCUUCAAUCCAAAAAUAUAUUGGCCACUCCAACAAUGUUGUUACUGUAAGCAAUUCUGCAUGGCAUCUCCAAAUACUGUAGAUGGUUUUUCUUUUCUCAUGUUUCUCUAAUACUUUUGUUGUAUGCGGCAGCCGCUGUGGAUCCUAAAAACAGUUAAGGAGAAGUCUUUGCAGCGGCUUGUGCAUUUCUCAUCGGACCUAGCUAGGCAGGUUGCCAUGAUUCUUGAAAAUGUUUCGGUUUCCAGAGAGGUAUCUAGUUGUUUCCUUAAUUAGUAAUUAUGCUUGUUUGCAAUAAGCAACAUGCUUCUUCUUCCAAGGUGGAACUUGUAUUAUUUUUUUUGGAGUCUUUUGUUUUGUGCUAUCAGUAUGCUUGAUAUCCUGUGUGGAUGUCAGCCUCGUUAAGUGAUUCUGGAUUAUUAUUAUCAUACUAAUACCCAAUUUAAGAAUGUUCACUCUUUUUUGCAUAAUGAUGAAAAGGCGAUAACCUAUAUUGUUGCGAUUAGAGAUAUGCUGUCGAAAGCUUAUCCGAACUGUCAUGGUGCAAUUGUUGUUUGACAAUUUGAUCUUAAAGGAUUGUCGAAGAUUGUUAUUUAAUAACUGAACAAAAGGUGCAUCAUAGCAUAUGUACUCAACAAGUCUAUUCAAUUUUGAUUCGAUUCCAUUGCACAAGGACAAAUUCUUUUGCAUUUUUAUCCAUGGUGGUGGUUGUUGUUGUCAUCUUAAUAGUUCACUGCUGAAGGGUAAGUUUCUCAUUUUCUGGAAGAUAUUACAUAUAGAUUGGAAAUCUGUCAAGAGUAUGAACAUUUUUUUUUUUUUUCUAAUGUCCUUUUUUCCCUUUUUUUUUAACUAUUUUAUCUUACAACCCAGAAGCAUAUUAUGUAGCUUUUCAUAUUUUAAAUGUUUUGUGGAGAAACUUGCAAGUUAUUCUAAACUUUUCCUGGAGAGUCAAAGCUGUUCUCGGAAGAUCUUCUCAAGGAACAGCUUAACAUGUACAAAAUCCUUUAAAGAACACUUCCGAUAUUCAUCAUAUAAUUUAAUCAGUCCCGAACUUAAUAUGAAUGGGAGGAUAAUAAUUUAAACUUUUCGCCUGUUAGUUAUUUCAUUAACUAAGUUGGCGAAUAAUGUUCUGGAAACUGUCGGCAGAUGUUCACAGUAUAAUGAAAUAAUGUAGUUCGGUUUUCCAAAUUGACUCUUGAUGCUGUCGUAUUAUUUUACCAAAGAUUUUCUUUCUCGUGUCAGAUAGCAGCAUCAUGUCAUGAAUGCCAGAGACAUCAUUUUUUGGGUUGCUGAAAAGUGAUUUGCCAUUGCCCUGCAGGAUAGUUGGGCACUUCUCUGAUCCUUUAUGUGACAUUUGCUUUUCUUAUCUUCGUCACUAAUUUCAGGAAACAAACGGUGGAAGUGUGUGUCCUGUUGCAUCAAAUUCUAAAAAAUCGCUGCCGACAUGUAAGGGCAUUAAAGAAAGCCUUGAAGAGAGGCAGAAAAUAACUGACUUAGCAAAAUUGGGUGUCCGAAAUCGCCGUUGUCACCGCAUGCAAGUAAGUGUUAGUUGACAUUUAUUUUCUCCUGCGCUUGUUCAAUACUUCAGUUUACUUGCAUUUCAUGUGGCUUUCACUUUCACGAUUUCAUAUGCCAUUCCAUAUUUUUCAGCCUUUUUCUCAAAUGUUAUUUGUUCAUACCGUUUGUUUUAUGAAACCUAUAUGAAAAAACAGUUUGAUUGUGACAUAAUUUAUUUUUGUUGGGUAACAGACAUGCCAAAUUCCGAUCCAUCCGAUUACUCCAUCCAGCCUUUUGGAUACAAUCUGCUGGUCAAUUUCUGAGCCAACCUCAUCAGCAUGUGUUUAUACUGACUCUUCUUGGUCAGAAGAUGUUAACGAGCAGCAAACCAUCUCUUCUUUUGAUGUGAGAGGAGAUGCAACGGAUGCAGAAUUAUCAUCUGAAAACUUCUCUCGCCCACUUAAAGAAAGGUAGUUCACCGUCUCAAUAAAAUCCACCUUUCGCUUUAAGAGCUGUCAAAUUGAAGACCCGCCACCGGUAACAAGUUUUUUGAUAGAAAAUUUGCUAGAAGCAUUCCACUGCAGUAGAAGUAGAAGUUUCAAAUUAGAGCUCAUGUUUUUGCAGCUCAAAAGCUCAUUUUAACAUCCUGCUGUAGCAGAAGCUUUAAAAUUUUCACUGUCAAAUACUUGGCAAUUGCUUUUUGAAGCUGAGAAGAUGCUCUACAAGCUAGGCUAAAUGAUCAAAUGUUUCACCAGAUCUGAAACUGCCGUUUGUAAGCGUUCGCGUUUGCUUUUGUGGUUACAGUGAGAAGAGGGAAGUGAUCUUCAAAAACCACUUCCUUACUAUACUCUUUCCAGUCGACCGUUUCAGUGAAUUGGGGCCUUUAUCGAGGACAUUCUUUAGCAAUGGUGGUUUUACACGCAUGCAAGUACUGGAUUAUAUUUACAGCUUUUAUCAGGUAUAGGACACGGAAUUUCUUCUUCUUCUUCUUCUUCUUCUUCUGGCUAUAGUUAUCAUGAUUUUGACAUUAAUAUCGAAACUUUUUGCUUUUUUGAGUUUCGUAAUAGACACCGUUAACUAUCCUGUUAAAUUCAGGUUCUUAUUGAGGAUUUUACAAUUUUUUAGCUACAAAUUAAUUUUGGCAAGUUAGCCAAUUUUUGUUUUCAAUGCCCACAAAUAAUGUCAGGAUUCUCAUUAAUUUUUAUUCACUUUUCCAUUGAGAAAAUAAAAAAGAAACUGUUUCACUUGUUACAUGGUUUACUUUUCACCUUUCGAUUUCUAAUUUAUUUAUCACAUGAAUUUCCUUGCUGUUCCCUUACUGUUACGUGAUUUAUCUAACUUCGAACUGAAUUUAAAGUGCCAAUACAUGAGGAUCUUUAUAUCAUCCUUUCCAGGAGAACAUGUUGGAAAAUGAAAUAGAAGUAGCAAUUCACACAGAUUCAAGACAUGCCGAUCGCCUCCGGUCUCUGUAUGCUAGCGAAGAAUCGGUAGAGCGCGGUUACAUCUCGUUCAAGAGAAUCGAUUUCAUGGGGAGCCGAAGGAGCUUCGAGGUGUUGAAGCGGUUGAGUGGCGAGACCAACUGCAAUGUUUACGAGCUUUUGAUCAGAGCGUAGGUCGUUUUACUGUUUGAUCCAGGUUUGGUUUUUUUUUUCUUUUUUCUCUUUUUUCUCUCUCUCCGCCUCUGAUGCUAAAUGUGGGUGUGGGUUUACGAAAAAUAAAAUAUAGAGCUUGCAAUUUUGUUUCUUGUGUAUAACAAGUGUGAUGUGAAUACCAAUUAGCCAAGAGAAUAAUGAGAUUAAUGGUGCUUAUAUACUAACACUGAUGAACUUUGUGAGGCUUGCAUUGGCCGAAUGAACGCUUCCGAAGGAAAUUAAUGCUGUAUAAACUUGGGACUAAUUUGGGAUUGCGUGUCUAAACGCAACCGCUUUUAUGUUUCGAAUCAGAUCCAAAAAUUCGAAAGCCUAGCCUAGCCUCUUGCUUGCCGAUAUUACAAAGCAGUGGCAGUAAGAAUGGGAAUCUGACAAGCAGGUGGUUGCUUGGUUCUCUGAUCGCAGUUCCUGCCACUGUUUUUUUUGUAGUAUCAGAAGAGGGGUGGACAGAUUGAAAGUGCAUUAAGAUGUUUUAUUAGGGUUUCUAAAAUAUGAAAGCGGGUGCUUAUAGCCCUUGCAAUUCCAAACUAGGCCUCAGAAACGGGUCGAGAAUGUACACACUGCACUGAUCUUUUCCUAGCACGAGUAAAGAAACAGCUUUAUGAUUAAUAACCGAGAUUCCAAAUUUGGAGUCUCUAAAAAUACUUUAUAUUUCUAACUAAGUUUAUUUCUAAAAUAAAUCAACAAAACAAAUAACAAAGCUCUUUACCUAUAGCCUCUCUCUCUCUCUUGCAUUUUACAUAUUUUUCACCUACAGUGAACCCCAAUUACUAAGUAGUUUAUAACAGUAAACAGCCCCACAACGGAUGAUGAUGACUGAUGACAGAUGACAGAAGAAUAAUGGAGUUAAAUUGGUUCAAGCAUUUUAUAGAGGAAGCCAAGUCGUCAAAGUGAACACAAUUUAAGAUCAAUGAGAAAACUAUGACUUCAAAGUUCAAGAUAAUAUGGAACCAAAAAUUAAGGAGAUGCUGGUGGUUUCUUUCACGAGAGUCCACUACAGGUUCAAAAUUUUAGAGAGGGGCAGGCACAAUUGAUAGGCCAUAUCAGCCUGUAUCGUAAGGAAGAAAAAUGAGAUUGGAAUAAAUAAUAAUAAUAAUAAUAAAAGUGAAGAGAGUCUACAAAAUGUUAAUGAAAUGUCAGUGAAGAUAAAACUACAAAACUCUACAGUGUUAGAGAUAUAUAUGUACCCCUCUCUCUCUUCCAUAUUAAUUUACAAGGCUUCCUGUGCUUCAUACCUUUUCCUUUCCUUUCGACCCUCUUGUUUCUUUUCUAUUUUUCUUUUUUGUUUCUUCUUUUUUCACGCGUGAACCCUAAAAGGGGGUUUAAUAUAUGACAACCCGGAGAAGACCGGGUUGAGGCUGGGUGAAGUGAAGGCCCUCUUCUAGAAGGAACUGCUCGACGGCAAUCGGCAACCUGGCAGGGGUCCGCGCACCCUUUGUGUGGUGGCCGGUCCCAACACAAAUCAUAACCUGAAGCCGGUGACCAGAUGACCUAGCUGUGCUCUUCAGAAUACUCAGUUCGUGCUUUAGAAUGUGCAAUGCUUCGCUUACGUGGAGGCCGUGCAAGUCGAUCAGGCGAUCUUGCCCUUGGCCGUAUCCUUGGAGUUGGGAACCAACAGGGUUUCUGCAAGAAAGAAAGAAAGAAAGAAGAGAACAUUAAAAGGGUUAUAUUGCAUCCGGGGUGCCCAAUCCUCUGAGGUGGUUUCAAUUUUUGUCCUCUUUUUUGCUUCCAUUGUUGCAAAUCGGUUCCGAUCUUUUCAUUUUGUGGCAGUCUUACCUUUCCGGUCAAAUUCCUCCACCGAAUUGGGCACAAAUUUCACCGCAAUGUCAUGUAACAGCCACAUAAGCAACUCUUGGAUUUCUCAAUGGACAAUACAGUCUAGUUCAACUAAGGAAUUUAAUGACAAGGGUACGAUUGCAACAAAAUGCAAAUGUCUAUGGAUCCAAUUGCAAGAAUUGAAAGGUUAGGACCAAACUGAAGCUAUUCUGAAAGAUCGAGGACCCCUGGUGCAAUUUAACCAAUUAAGAACGAAUGAUGGCCCAUCCAUCUGGGCCAACCUGAAGUAAAAUUUUAAGAGGUUGUCAAUUAUUAAUUUCCACAACAACUGCAUCAAUUGGACUCCAAAAGAGUGCACAUUUAGAUUGGCAGCUACAGUAUACAUACUCCCAUUACCAUGAAGAAGAUAUACUUCAGUGCUGGAAAUAUAAUUACCAGAAAAUAACUGUGCCAGUAGAAUUUAAGACCCCAUUACGCUUCGGCCUUGUUUGGUACUUCUGCCACAUUUUUUUUUUGUUUUUUAGAACCCAUAUUUGUGUAGGCGAAUAGCUAAUACAUCUACAGGAUUUGUUUGGCAACAAAAACCAAAAACCUAGUGGAAACUUUUUUGGCUUAGUUAUUUUUCUGAAGAUGCCAAUCAGCAUCUGAGUAAGGUGCAUCACAAGCUAAUAAAUGACCAGAACAGAGAAGUUCAUCUGUUGGUUCAUUCAGAUGCAAAAAUUUUAGUACACUAGAAGGGCAAAAAUAUCAAACAAGGCCUUAACUAAUGGACUAUGUAUUAUCAGUUAAGAAAAAAGAACAACGGGUAACCUCUGACGAUAAAUCGAUUCCUGGGCUUUCUCGUGUGCUGCUUUCAUGUGCAUGUUGUACAACCGCCCUUUUACGCUCAGUUCCUUUGCCAGUGCCUUGUUCCCAAUCAGAUAGGCCUGUCUUGCCUGUCAAUAAUCAGUUAAAAAUUGAGAUUUAGUAAAUGUUAACAAGACCAAGUGAAAAGACAAAAAUAAUUAGCUAAAAGAAAAAAGAAAAAACUGUCCUGUCUAAACUCCAAAGAGUAAUCAAAACUGGAAAUCUCAUAAUGAGAAAUGCAAGUUUUUUUAGAAGAGAUUUAAAAUCUUCAUUUGGUUUCCCAUAGGAAAGCAACAAAGGGACUCGACUGUUACAUUCACUAAAAUUUAGGGUUUGAAAGUAGCUCAUAAAGGAGAACAAGUCUACGAAAAAUUAUACAAAAACGUAGCUCACUAACUUGCAAACAUGAACAAAGAAAAGUACCACUGAAUCAAAGGAGGGCAGUGCCAGCAAUUAACACAGAUGGUGUAUGCAUAGCAACCCAUCAGGAACUACUUAUCCCUUGUCCAUUAUUGUAAACCCUCAAAAAACAACCAAAUGCUUCUAAGCCAGAGAGUGUAGAAACAAGUACGGCAUAUUAAUUGACGCAAGAAGAUGUAUGGCCAUUGAAAACCUCAGGGUGUGAGCUUCAUAAUCAUAAUCCUUAAAUUGGCAAACUAUAACAUUGCAACAUAUUAUCGAGCAAGAAAUGCAUGAAAUCCAAGAUACAAGGAUUACAAAAAACAUGAUCAAUCAGUACUUGCUUACUUGUUCAAAGAAUGCAUUUCGAAGACAAGCAAAAUCUCGAGCUUCUUCCCUUGACUCGGAAUACAGAUUUGCUGUCAAAUACAAAAACUAACAUCAUUUUUCACGAGAAAACAAAUCAAUUAACACAUUAAAAAAAAGCAAACCAGAGAUUCUCAAAAGACAGCCCAAGAUUAUUACCAACUGCAUCACCAGUCUCAAGCCAAGGUGGAGUUGCUCGUGUAGUACCAAUACUUUGCAACUUAUUACCAAAACCUAACUUGCUAUUAACAUCAUAUUGUUUGGUUAAAACUCGUGAACCUCUACUUGAACCAACAUUUUCAUCAUCAGCACCUUUCUUCUCCAAUUUCCAGCUACCAGAAUUCUGGGAAGCAAGUUUACGAACAGUUGAAACAAAAUCUAUGUUACUGCCAAAUAUAGAGGAAGAUCUAUAUCCGCUUGUAGCUCCUUGGGAAUCUUCUAGACUGUACUUGGACAACCCAUUUUGAUCCUCUGCCGUGGGAAGUGCAGGGAAGUCCAGCAUGCUAAAGCUAGGAGCAGUUGAGGCCUUUGAGUUUGCGCUCUGAUUUAAACUACCAUCAACUUGCAUCUGGAAAGACAAAUAAAAAAACAUGUAACAGAAAAAAAAAAGUAACAAGAACAAGAGCUGCACUAGCGCAUUGCAUUGCAAGAAUAGUUUAAAAAAGUCAGAGGACUUCUGAAGCCUAGGUGGAAGGUGCAAGGUACGUGACUGAGAAAGAUGACAUGCACAUUUUCACAAAUUUUCACAAUCAUAAACAUACAUUAAAGGACCUAUACAGACAAAUCACAAGAUUUAGAAAAUUAGCAUAGUUUAAAAACAGAAUUAUCGCAGAAAACAAAUUAAAACUAUUUUAUUAUAGUUAAUGAAUUCUCCAGUGCUAUAAUUGAUGUGUCGAUAACGCUAAGAACCACAAAAUAUCUAGAACCCACCAACUAGCGGUGUAUUUAUCAUCAAAACCUGCAUCUAGAGUGCCUAGACACUUUUAACCAAACAUCCAAAACUCGCAUUGAAACUCAUAACUUGCAUAGCAGAGGAAUUGAAGACUUGUACCAAUACUGAGUGGUGCGACUAGGCCUCAAUGCACCAUGCUUGGUGCCUUGAGCCUAGGCACCCAGGCAUGUGUUUAAGGCGCACCUUUUCAAACUGAGGUAGCAAGUAUGAUUAAUGGAAUGUACAAGGUAGACACCAAAUCAAUUCAAUCUAUAUUACGAACAGCACAUGCUAUUAUGUAUUGAGGCUUAAGCCAUUAUACGUAGGCCUUAGGACAGCGGCAGAGUCAAGAAAAUCCAUCAAAUCACUGAAAAAGCAAAGAUAAAGACUAAGCACCAUGAACUACCUUCGCUUCUGUGUGCCUAUAACAGGCUUCGAAACAAUUAUUGACAUAGCAAACAUGUAUUUCUAAAUAUCCAUUAGGCAUAACAUUAGCACUCUUGUUAGACUACCAAGUGUAUUAUUUGCACAUCGCACAUAUAUAAUGAAUGAAACUGCAGCUAAAUUCAACUCCUAUGAUUCCCUGUUGAGAAUCUUGAAUGAAUGUAUGUGUGAAUCUAUUAUCAUCUUUAUUGAAUAUAGUUAUAGCAAAUUAACAACGAAACGCAAUAAUUAGGCAACCUACAAGAAUUUGUAACACACAAUCCAUACUUGGGAAUCAGGAUGCAAUAAUAUGCCUAAACUUCCUCAGCGACAGUGAAACUUCCCGAAGUUUAGAUGUUAGUAGUGAUAGUAUUGAUAAUUAUAGCAACUUGCUAUCUAAUAGCAUUAUUCAGUAAAUGUUACUGCCUCACUUACCCAAUCUUCAUCAGUUACUAGAAUGUACCUAUUAACACAGAAAAUUACCUCAAGUUGGGUGAGCAUUUCAAUGGUCAUAUUCAAAUCACAGCCAUUUGCGUUAUAGACAUCUGCAAGGCUCUCAGCAGAAAAACCAGGGAAAUGAGACACCAAGUAUUCCAAAGGGUCAACAACAGCAUCCUCUACAACAGCAUUCUCUGUGGCAGAGCUAUCCAAAAAGCCACCAUUGUAGUCUCCAUUAUAAUGGUAUUCAUCCUUUCCAUUCUUAAAAUGAAAAUCAACACUAGCUAACUGUUGGUCCCAGUUGCUUGUGGCCAAUGGCAAGAAAGCAGCUGUCGGAUGGUUUUCACAAUAACUCGAACCAGGAAACCCUUUUUUUUGACUCGUGAUCAGACCAUCACUACGACGAGGAGAUAUGAGCUGGUGGCUACUAGAAAACUGGCUGAAUCCUGAUGGAGAAAACUCAGAAGCUUCAAAAUCAUCAUUCAACGACAAACCAGAAAGUGAUAGUUGUCUUGAUGCCUGCUCAUCCUGUUCUAUUACCUUAAAAUCAGGAGUAAUAUCAUCAGGAAGUUGGCAAUCCCAAAGCUGGUUUGCCUCAUCAUCUAAAUUAUUAGAUAUUGAGCAUUCUGAUCGAUCUGGGACUGCUUUUCCAGAAAGCCCAUAAAAAUCUGGCUUUUUUACAUCCGCAAAGCUAUUGUUUCCAAAUUUAGAUCGAAGAGCUGAAGGAACAAAUUCUGCUGCGUUUGGAUUCAAUGUUGUGCCCUUGUUAGGUGACUUCAACUGCAAGUUGUUGUUGUUGCUUGGGAUACCUUUGGCGGGUAAACUCAUCUUUAUUCUAAGUUCGAAUAUAACAUGUUACAUAAAUAUCAUUCUAGAUAAGAGAAAAGUUUGCAGAGGCUUUUAUCCCAAUCCUGCAAAUUGUAGAAGAUGGAAACAGGAGGUGGUAAGACUCAAGAGGCAGAGCUCAUAAAAUGUGACAUAAAUUUUACUUGUUUAGUUGCAAUACGACACUACUCAGUAUUCCCUAGACUAUAGCUAAAUUGCUCUUACAGUCUUACUAAAGAUUGACUAUUAAGAAAAUUAUCCAUGCCAACUAAAUCAGUAACAAUUAUGUUUCCUGAUAUAUCACAUUAUCAGCAUAUGUAUACAAAGAAAGAAGAUACCUCGUUUUUCCUGAUGGUAUACAUCUUAAUUUCGGAAAAAAAAAACAAAACACGAGCAAAUUUUAAGCGCUUGAGUCUCCUCCAAAGUAAAUAUUGACCUCCAUAAACAUAUGGACUGAUUAAAAGUAACAGAUCCAAGGUCCAAGGCUAUAAGUCAAUACCAUAUCAAACAAAGAACUAAAAUUACUUGUCAAAUCUCUUAUUUGAUCUAAGAAAACAAACAAAAAUCACACAUCACAAACCAAUCUACCUGUUGAUUUGCUUCUUCACAGUCAUGAGACUAUGGAAUUGGUCCAAAUCAUAUUUCUACUGCGUUCUACCCUGUAGCACAGUAUUUACAGGAGAUUAACAAUCUAAUGACACUUCUUUUUUUGUCUCCCUGCAAUUGAGAGUAAGAAGUUCCACAAUCUUUAAUAAUUACGAUGAUCAUGCCUCUUACCAUAUUAAUCAAUAAUGAACUUACCAACUCAAAUAAAGCAAAAAAAGACUCCAUACUUUAAACAGCGACACAACUACAAAUCCAACCAAAAUUGAGAUCCACAAACACGUUCCAAUUUAGCUCACGAACUCUAAACGGACCAAAGCCCGGACGAUUCCAACCUCCACAAAAACAAUUAUCAAUCCGAAAAAAGGAAAAAAAAAAAAAAAAAGAAGAAAAGAACUCUAUCCUAUUAAAGGAACAACUAUGAAUCUCACCAUAUAAAACCUAGAUGACACAAAAUCACACGAAUCACCCAUAAAACAAUAAACCAAGAUUCAGAUCUAAGAUUAGCGGGGUGCGGAGAGAGAUCAACAAACCCUUUUGUCGAUCGAUUCGAGAACAUGUGGUAUCAAAUCAAUCCAUAGGGUAAAAGGGCGAAGACGAGGGCGAAGAGGAACCAAGUUGAGAGAGAGAGUGUGUGCGCUUCUUCCGCUAGGGCUGAGAGAGAGAGCUCCGAAACCCUAAUUUUUUUUCGGCUUCACGACCGCAAAAUAGGAAAAAAGAAAAAAAAAACCCAAUAAAAAGAAAACGCUUACAAAAAGAGAAUAUAUAUACAUAUAUAAAGAAUAAUAAAAAAAAAAAAAAAACAACAACUCCUUUUUGCCCCCUCUCAAUCACAACAACAAUCGCAAACGCGUCUCGCACAAACGUUGACUUGUUGACCCAAUCGGAUAUCGAGUUUUAGGAGAAUUUAUUGCCUCCACCCGGUGUAUCCCUGCGCCUCAUGCACCGCAGCUUUUCUCAUUUUGGGGGAUACUUUGUCCCUUAAAUUUUAUGAUGAUAUUAUAUUUUUUUUUAGCUUUAACUUAUAUAUAUAUAUAUUACUGCAAUCGAAUCGAGUUUCAUGCAUAAGUAAAUGAUCUUGUAGUGUUGUGAUAACUUGAUAGAUUACAUACUUAAAAUACUAUAUUACUGUCAUAUUAGUGACAUAUCAGUAUUUAAUCAGCUAAUUGAAUAGUAAGAUUAAGUUAGAAUGAUUUAAAAAGUUCGAGCAAACAAGUAUAAUAAUUUAAAGUUUGUGAACUAAAAUAUCAUUCUAACUUAAUCUUACUAUUCAAUUAGCUGAUUAAAUACUGAUAUGUCACUAAUAUGACAGUAAUAUAGUAAGCAAACAAGUAUAAUAAUUUAAAGUUUGUGAACUAAAAUAUCAUUCUUCGGUAGUUAUAAGACGGCAAAGUAAUUUAGUUUUUCUGAUAAUCAAUAGCUUAAAAUAAAAAUCCAAUCCAUUAUCCAAUUUAAUAUAUACAUCUUAUACCAUAUAAAUUUGUACAUAAUAUAUCAUAAAAAUUUAGAGACCUUAGUACUCUUAAUAAUGAACGAUCGAUAGAAUUACUGUUCGAUUUGUUAAAAAUAUUUUUUAUAUAUAAAAAUAUUUUGUAAAUGCUUUAGAUGCGAGAACACAUUUUUUGAAUUAGAUAUCAUAAAUAUUUGGGAUUUGAUGUAUGUGAAGAACUUAUACAUCCGGUGCACGUAAUAAUUAACAAAGUUUUCGAGGCAUUAAGUAGCGUGAAAUGCCCUUUUACUUUAAUCAAAUUACCUCUGUGUCCUUUUCAUGAAUAUGGGAUAUUCGCCGCAGCAAGAAUCGUCCCAUGGAAGAUUUUAUGCGGGCGCAUGUAGACCAGAUGAUAAAAUUAUUUUUUGCACCGGGUGUAUGUAUAUAUCAUACGCCAUGUUAUUUAAAUCAAUAAAUUUUAUAUAUACAAUUUUUUUAGAAAAAAAAUUGUAUAAAGGACCCCCCUAACUUCAGCACGUCUGCAAAUAGACCCUUAAACUUUUACAUUAGGCAAUUAAAAAAUAACCUUUCUUCUCAAUUAAAAAAAGUAGUACUUUAACAUCGAACACAAAGUUGAAGCAGGUGCUCAUAAAUCAUACAAGCUUCCAAAUCGCUCUCCACGUCUGAUCUUCGAGUUUGUUAGUUUUUUCUAAAUAUCUGCACUCAUAGUUCGAUAGGACGAGGGACUUCUGCGUUGUUAUUAUUAAAAGGAUUAAUUUCAUAUAAAUUCUUGUAAAUAUAGUGAAUAAUAAAUAUAUUUCUACAAAGUUUAAUUUUUAUAUAUUGUUUUUGUAAAAGUUCUGAUAUUUUCAAAUAUGUCCCUACAGUUAGAAUUCGUUAGAAAAUUUUAAUUGACCAUAGGUUAAAUACUAACUCUGGUUAAUUUUUUGACAUUUUUAGCCAUUUAUAUUAUACUGUUAUGACUUUUGGAGGGAUAUAUUUGUGAUGAGAAAAUUAAAAAUAUAAAUAGUUUUCUAGCGGCUCUCUAAUGGUAAUAAAUCAGAGAGAUAUAUUUAAAAAUAUUAGAAUUUUUACAUGAACAAUAUAUGAAAGUUGAACUUUGUGAGGAUAUAUUUGUCAUUUAUUAUGUUUGUAAGGACCUGUAUGAAAUUAAUCUUUAUUAAAACUAUAAAAAACUAGUAAUAGAUAAACUUUUCCACACAAAUCAAGCGAUAUUUGACGCCAACAAAUAUAGUUUUGAGCAAAAAAAAAAAAAAAAAAAAAAAAGUCAGUAGAAAAAACUCCUUUCCUCCCAUAAUAUUUCCUCUAAUAAUUCCUAGAUUUGCAUAUGAUGGGAAUUUUCAAUUGUUUUAUUUAUUCUUAAUUUUAUUGUGAUAUUUCAUAUUUUAAUCUUGCCAUCUUGGUUUAAAUCUGGAUAUUUUCAAAAUAUAUUAGGGCUUACUUGGUCCUAUACUUUUGUUUUAGGUUAAAUAUUUUAGUAGGGCUUUGCAUAAAUUAUUUAAAAAAGUCUAAUCUGUUGUUGUGAUAGAAUUAGAAUUACAAUUGUGAGGUGGAAAAAUAAAAAUUAUCAUUUAGAACUUUUUAAUUCCGCUAUGAAGAAAAUGUAUCAAGAUUGAAUUAAUUUUAACAGCAUUCAAUAAUAAUUCCUUAUUUUAUAGUUUUACUAUCUUUAGCAAAACUAUUGACGGAAAAAAAAAAACUUUUAUUGCUCGAAAGUAAAGAAUUAUAAUAGUUAGGAGCCUUAGGCACAAUUUGGAUCAGGGAUAAGAGGAAGGAUAACCCCUUAUCCCCUUUUAUACUCAAACGCAAAUUUUUUAUCCCAGAAUAGUAGUUCUCGGGUAUCUGAAAUAAGCUGAUAUAACUAUUCUCACCAAUUCCUCCAUUUUCUAUCUAUAACUACCCACUAUUUUUCUUAUUCCAUAUUAUUUAUUCAAACGCUAUUUUUCUUAUCUCCGGAAACAACCCAAUUUUCAUCCAAACGUUAUUUUUCUUAUCCCCAUAUUUGUACUUAUUUUUCUUAAGCAUUUCGGCCACUUGAAAGUUGAAACAAGUCGAACUUGAACGAUCUAGACUUAAUCGUCUCUCACCUGAUAGUUGAAGCAGCCUAAAAAAUUCGAAAUCUCGGUCUAAUUCCACAAAAUGGCCGAAACCGCUAAAAAAGAAAUUGUUGAAACUGUUGCCGCCGAAACUACCGCCACUAAACCUACCGAAACUAUUACUACCGGAAACCACUGAAAUUGCUACUAGAAGCCGUCGAAACUAUUCUUACCUUCGAUUAGAAUACAAAAGCUACUACAAUUAUUCCUAAACCGCUUUAAAAUUGGCAAAUAUGUUGAUAUUUUUCAUAAGAAAGUUUCUUUCUUUGAUCGCCUAUCCAGUUUUUAUAGCCUUCACAAUUCAAAUCAGAAUCCAAUUGUUCUGAUAAAAUCAAAUCUCAUCUGAAAAUUGAAUUUUGAUAAUUCCAAGUUGAAUUCUAAAGCUUCGGAAUGAUUAUUGCUUACCCAAUGUCACCAUACAUCAUUGCUACAUUAUUAAAAUGUGCUUAACUGGUCUUGCUUUUGCGUGGUCUUCAAAAUUGAACAUUUCUUACAAAGCGUUUGAUAAAUAAAAUAAUCAGAAAUUUUGCAAGGACAGAAAAGGACAAACAAGAUUUUUGAAUUUCAAAAAUAGACAAACUUAUGUAGAGAUCAGUUAAACAAAUCACAUUAUGAAGUUUUUCCUUGUAGCACUAAUAAAAUAUUUUUAUAUUAAAUCAUAUUACACUAUAUAAUACUAAUAAUCUCUAACGCAAGUGUUUAAAAACUUAAUGAUUGGGAUAUGAGUUCCUAAGUUCAAAUAUUUGAGGCCCUAGGUUCGAAGUGUAGUUAUUUUACAUUGUCAGCUAAAUUCAUUUCCAAAAAAAGGUAUAGUUACUUUAUAUUUUUAGCUAAGUUCGUUUUUAAAAUAAUAAUGAAUGAAACAAACAGUAUAUUAUAUUUCUCUAAAAAAAAAAAUUUAAUCAAAACAUAAAAACUUUACACUCUAUAUUUUAUUAUUUCCUUCAAUAGCUACUACUUUUUUUGUAGAACUUAAAAUUUCAAAUUAAAGCUUCUAUAUUCGACCUCCAAAUUCUGAUCUAUUCUAAUUGCCAAACAUUUUAUUACAAACAACUAUAUAAUCAAGGUUAAAUGACAUUUUUGGUCCUCAAACUAAUAGAGGUUCUUAAUUUUAAUUUAUUACAAUUUCUCACUCGGACUUUCAAAAUUAUUGCAGUCAAGUUCCACAGCCUAAUUUAUUUGACUAAAUAUUAAUAUGACUCUAAUGCGAAAAUAAUAUAGCAGUAUUAUUAUUAUUAUGUAAUAUUAAGACACGAUAUUAUUUCCACACUAGCAAGACAUAAAUAAUUAUGGACUUAAUUGCAAUACUCUAUAAAAUUUAAACUAUAAAUUACAUUAAAUUAAAAUUUGACCACCAAGUAUGUAAAGAAAAAAAGCAUUGCUUUCCAGGGCCAAACCAAAUAUGGCCUGAAAGGGAUUUGUGGAUCUUUCUUUUUUGUCUCCCUCUCUAGAAGCUUCUUCUAGAUUUGUCUUUUCUCAUGGUCCCACCAUGGUGGUGACCAUGCACAGCCUCAAAAUUAUUGAGGAAGCACCACAGUGGAAAGAGAUAAUAAUUGCUUUAUAACUGAUUCCACCAACCCUUGCACCCCUUCAUAAAUUGGUCCCCAUUUAUGGACAAAAAUCUUAACCCUCCUUAGCCAUUAUGAUAAAGGAUAACUUACAACUCUAUUUUUUUUUUCUUUUUGGUAAAAAUAUAUAAAGAUUUAGUGAUGCUAUCUGUAUGUUUAUAAUAUUAGAUAAAAUAAAUUGUGGAAUGUAAAAUGCACAUCUUAUAAUAGAAUGUAUCGAUAGUAUUUUUAAGAUAUAAAACUAGAGCAAAUAUAUAUGAACAUAUUAAAAUUAUUGGAGAAACAAAUAUGAUCAUUUAAACUCUGCACAGAGAUAUUUAAAAUUUGAUAUCUUUAUAGGAAUACCUACUUGAGAAAGUUGCGAUGUAGAAUAAAAAAAAAAAAAAGUGCUGAGGGAGCAGUAUUAGAAUGACCUACAAACUAUAGUUGAAGGAUAGGUUGAGGCAGAUUCGGGGCGGGAGAGAUCCACCACCUCCUGCCCUAUUUUCUUGACAAGCCAAGAUGGAUUCGAGAUUGUUUGAUAUUAAUUUCAUAUUUUAUCCUCACUCACCACUAUAUUUUGGAACGGGAGCAAACUUUUAACGAAUUUUUGGCAGAUCGAGAUGGAUCAAAGGAAGAAAAGAUUUUCCUGUCUCCAGCUCCAUUUUCCUAGCGGAUCGGAAAAAGUUAUCUAUUUUUUAUAAAUUUUUUUUGGGUCCCAUUUACUAUCUCAUUUGGAGUGGGACGAAAUGGGAACUCCAUCAACCUGAAUCUAUUUGCAUCCCUAAAAGCCCAUCUGUGUGUGUGGCGGGGAAUAAAUCAUUCCAUUCUUAAACACACAUGAGUUUGUGGGCUAUAUACUCUAGUGUUGGUAAAAGGGCCCUUUCUACCUCUGAAGAAGUAUUCAUUUAAAUAGAGGUUUAAUUAAGGGCCUGUUUGAUCUAGCUUCUAAAAAGUGAUUUCUGUAAAAAUAAUUUUGGUUUGAAGAAUUGAUUUUGAUGAAGAGUUGUAAAACNUGGAGAAACAGUUUUUUUUCUGCUUCUGAUUCCGGAGCCUUCAAAAUUAGUUUUCUGAUAUGAAAAAUAGAAUCAGAUUUUCAUCAGUCAUUCUCAAACACUCUACUGAGCUCAGAAGUGAUUUUAGAAUCAUGAUCACUUUUGAGAAGCAAGCUAAGCCAAACAUCCCCUAAUUACAAAAAAUCCUCCUUACACGUUAGAUCAUAUUUUAUUUAUCUCUCUUUAUUAAGCGUCGUAGCAAUUAACUUUGUGCACUUUACCGCUAUUUCAAGCAAGUUCAAAAUUUCAAAAUAUAAUCGACGAAUUAGAUUAUAAAACUUUGCUAAAACUUGUCUAUGCAUCAUAUUCUUCCAUAUCUCAAUAUUUAUUAAAUUUACAUUUCAAAAAUGGAUAAAAAAAUCAAGUAAAAAAAGAUAUAUAUCUUAUUUUACUAAUAUUAUUAAAAUUGAUAAUUUACCGAAUAAUUUUAUUUAAUUAGGAUGAUUCUGCUACACGAAUUAUAUAUAUAUAUAUAUUUUUUUUAGAGAUAGGUAGCACGCUCCCCGCUUCGCUUAUUUCAUUUUAAAAUAAACUUAGCUGGAAAUAUGAAUCAACUAGGAUUCGAAUUUGGGUUUUGAAUACCAACCACCAAAUUCUUUGCCACUUGCUCUGGGGACGGUUGGUAAUUAUAACUAAUUUUAUUUGUUAAUUAUUUCUACUAGUAUAGUAAUCCGUGCGAUGCGACUAAUAGAUAAUUAAAAAAAAAAAACGUUCAUAAAAAAAUAACAGUGAUGAAAAAAAUAAAAAUAACAACCGAAAAAAAAAGAAAAGAACAGAGUUAGAGCUGGUUCGGAAUGGAGUCCGCACUCAGUAGCACCUUAAAAAAAAAAAUAAUGUAUAAACUGGCGUAGAAAAAGUAUUACUGCUAAAUUUAAUAACUAUUAUUCUAAAAUUUUAGACCUAUUUGAAAUAGUAUAUGAGGGGUAAGUGACGUAAUAUUAAAUAGGAGGUAAUUUUUCUCUUUUUUUUUUUUGUUCUCCUCAGUUUUCGUCGACAAUUUGGUAAAGAGAACUCGGAUCAAAGUUCAAACACGGAAUCUCUAAACGCGAUAUUGAUGAGAGGAGAGUGUUAGGGUUUCCUCCUCGUACGCACCUCCCUCAACGUGCGACCGAGCUCCGGCGCCGCACCGAGGCUACGGCGGCGGCGGCGUCCUCGGCCGGCGCCGGCGAGUCGAGGCUGCGGCGGAGGACCCUGGCGACGGCGGCGACGAGGCUCUCCGGCGAGUCGGCGGCGCGGCGGCGGCUGCGGCGGAGGCUGCGGGAGAAGCGGGCGUGGCGAUCGAGCGCGUCGGCGGUGGAGACGGGCCGUCCGGGGCGGCGGGUCUCGUCGUCGACGGCCUCGGCGCAGAGGCCGCAGAUCCAGCGGCCCAGGUAGCGCCCCCGCACCGCGGCGAUGUACGCCGACGUGCACUCCUCCGUGAGGCCGCAGCACCCGCACGCCGCCACCACCACCUCCUCCUCCUCCUCCUCCUCCUCCAGCGCGGGCUUCGUGGUCGACAUAUCGCCCCGCCCUCGAAACCAACCCUAGAGAGCCCUCGAAUCGAUCCACAACGACGAGAGAGGGUGGAGGGGGGGCGCGAGGGGAAGUGAUUUGGAUCCCGUGACGGUCACGAUGAGAUAUCGGUGGCCGUACGGUUACCGUUUGCUCGCCAUUAACGGCGUAGGAGGGGUCGUAACGGCCGCGGCGUUCGCGCGCGCGCGUCGCGGGAGUUUUGGGAAACGGACUUGAACCGCGCGCGACCGAUUUCUGAGGAAAGCGCGUUUUGUUUUUUCCGUUUUUCGUCCGCAGUCCGGAGUCCGGACCUGGUAUUUUUGCAUAUUAGUACCUUAGAAUCUUUAGAAUUUGGUGUUUGGCCUGGAAAGGCAAACCUGGUCUAUUUUCAUAAUAUGGGAUUUUUAUCAGGUUUGAGAAGGAUUUUUGUUUUUGAGCAGCUUAGUUUUUUUAUUUAUUAAUGAAUAUUUAAUCAAAGUAGAAGAUAUGGAGUUAAAUAUUUUCAAGCUUUUUUGAGCAAUGCUACUUGCACACAUUUAAAUAAAUAGAUAUAAAUCUUGUACUCGAGUCAUCNAAAUUUUAAUUUAAAAUUUAAUUUCAAAAUUCAAAAUUCAAAUUUUAAACUUUAAAUUUUAAAUUUUAAAAGUUGAGAUUUAAAAAUUCAAAUAUGAAUUUAAAAUUUUAAAAUUUAAAUUUAAUGUUAACUUUAUACUUUGAAUCUAAAAUAAAAAUAAAAAUUUGAAGUUUGAGUGCAAAAUCAGAAUCAGUUUUGGAGAAACAGUUUUUUUUCUGCUUCUGAUUCCGGAGCCUUCAAAAUUAGUUUUCUGAUAUGAAAAAUAGAAUCAGAUUUUCAUCAGUCAUUCUCAAACACUCUACUGAGCUCAGAAGUGAUUUUAAAAUCAUGAUCACUUUUGAGAAGCAAGCUAAGCCAAACAUCCCCUAAUUACAAAAAAUCCUCCUUACACGUUAGAUCAUAUUUUAUUUAUCUCUCUUUAUUAAGCGUCGUAGCAAUUAACUUUGUGCACUUUACCGCUAUUUCAAGCAAGUUCAAAAUUUCAAAAUAUAAUCGACGAAUUAGAUUAUAAAACUUUGCUAAAACUUGUCUAUGCAUCAUAUUCUUCCAUAUCUUAAUAUUUAUUAAAUUUACAUUUCAAAAAUGGAUAAAAAAAUCAAGUAAAAAAAGAUAUAUAUCUUAUUUUACUAAUAUUAUUAAAAUUGAUAAUUUACCGAAUAAUUUUAUUUAAUUAGUAUGAUUCUGCUACACGAAUUAUAUUUUUUUUUUUGAGAGAUAGGUAGCACGCUACCCGCUUCGUUUAUUUCAUUUUGAAAUAAACUUAGCUGGAAAUGUGAAUCAACUAGGAUUCGAAUUUGGGUUUCGAAUACCAACCACCAAAUUCUUUGCCACUUGCUCUACAGCUCUAGGGACGGUUGGUAAUUAUAACUAAUUUUAUUUGUCAAUUAUUUCUACUAGUAUAGUAACCCGUGCGAUGCGAUUAAUAGAUAAUUUAGAAAAAAAACGUCCAUAAAAAAAAAUAGUAAAUAGUGAUGAAAAAAACAAAAAUAACAACCGAAAAAAAAAAAAAAAAAAAUUGUCACGUGACAAACAACCAGUAACGAAGAAAAAUUUGUCACGUGACAACUUAAAAAAAAAUAAUGUAUAAACUGGCAUAGAAAAAGUAUUAUUGCUAAAUUUAAUAAUUAUUAUUCUAAAAUUUUAGACCUAUUUGAAAUAGUAUAUGAGGGGUAAUUGACGUAAUAAUUAAUAGGAGGUAAUUUUUCUAUGCCAGUUUAUACAUUAUUUUUUUGUUCUCCUCAGUUUUCGUCGACAAUUUGGUAAAGAGAACUCGGAUCAAAGUUCAAACACGGAAUCUCUAAACGCGAUAUUGAUGAGAGGAGAGUGUUAGGGUUUCCUCCUCGUACGCACCUCCCUCAACGUGCGACCGAGCUCCGGCGCCGCACCGAGGCUACGGCGGCGGGGGCGUCCUCGGCCGGCGCCGGCGAGUCGAGGCUGCGGCGGAGGACCCUGGCGACGGCGGCGACGAGGCUCUCCGGGGAGUCGGCGGCGCGGCGGCGGCUGCGGCGGAGGCUGCGGGGGCGGCGGGUCUCGUCGUCGACGGCCUCGGCGCAGAGGCCGCAGAUCCAGCGGCCCAGGUAGCGCCCCCGCACCGCGGCGAUGUACGCCGACGUGCACUCCUCCGUGAGGCCGCAGCACCCGCACGCCGCCACCACCACCUCCUCCUCCUCCUCCUCCUCCUCCUCCGGCGCGGGCUUCGUCGUCGACAUAUCGCCCCGCCCACGAAACCAACCCUAGAGAGCCCUCGAAUCGAUCCACAACGACGAGAGAGGGAAGUGAUUUGGAUCCCGUGACGGUCACGAUGAGAUAUCGGUGGCCGUACGGUUACCGUUUGCUCGCCAUUAACGGCGUAGGAGGGGUCGUAACGGCCGCGGCGUUCGCGCGCGCGCGUCGCGGGAGUUUUGGGAAACGGACUUGAACCGCGCGCGACCGAUUUCUGAGGAAAGCGCGUUUUGUUUUUUCCGUUUUUCGUCCGCAGUCCGGAGUCCGGACCUGGUAUUUUUGCAUAUUAGUACCUUAAAAUCUUUAGAAUUUGGUGUUUGUCCUGGAAAGGCAAACCUGGUCUUUUUACAUAAUAUGGGAUUUUUAUCAGGUUUGAGAAGGAUUUUUGUUUUUGAGCAGCUUAGUUGUUUAUUUAUUAAUGAAUAUUUAAUCAAAGUAGAAGAUUUAGAGUUAAAUAUUUUCAAGGCUUUUUGAGCAAUGCUACUUGCACACAUUUAAAUAAAUAGAUAUAAAUCUUGUACUCGAGUCAUCCAAAGGCUAAUAUUUAUUCACUAGUCAUAUAAAAAAAAAAUUAAUUCUAAAAAUUUAAAAGAUAUUUAAGAAAUUUUAGAUGGAUGGAUGUAUAAUUUAUUCUGUAUAUAUAUAGACUGUGCAGAUAGUAUUCUUUUAAAUUUUUUUAAUAAUCAAUAAUAGCGUGAGGAAAGAUGGAGGCUUUAGAGUAGAGAAGGAGAGAGAAGAGAUGCGUGUGGUGAACAGGGGCUUCAUACAUUAGGAAUUUGGUUUACUCUUCAUGAUCAUGGUUUUUCUAAGAAAGAGAGGUGGCUUACUGGCUUAUUAUACGUGAAUUGAAUUGGGUUUACUUAUUUUUCUCGCCAUUUUUGGACAUCCUGUUUUCCUUCCAUCACAAUUGGUGUCCACUAUCUAAAAAGACGAGCAAUGCCACCCAUUGACUAUCGAUAGCUAUAUGCUUUGCGUCCCUAGUUUUAUUGUGUAACCAACUUAUUUAUUUUAUUUUAUUUUAUUUUACUCACAUUCUAAAGGGGUUUUAUCAAUCCUUAAAUCCAAAGGUUUACGUGUGGCAUUUUUCACUCGGAUAGGACUAGUGCAGCAUGUCCGUGCAGUUUUCCAUCGAGUAACGUGGACUUGCUCUUCGCUGUGCUUGUAUGUGGUUUCAAGCCUCAACAGAAGUACUAAAAGGCAAGCCAUGAUAUACAUUGGCGACCACAAACCCUUCACGCUUGGGCCGACGGCCGCACCAGCAAAGUCGAAUACGAAGGCAUAUUUUGCCUUCAAUCGGAUGAGUCGAGGUGCAACGAUUGCUGCAAUCCCCCCUACAAAAGUGCCUGUGCUGGUGCUGGUCGUUCGUGUUUGUGCUUGGCUGUGUCAUGUGAUGUAUAAAUGAUCACUAGUUUUCUAAGCCUCUAUUAUCUAGGCAUCAGUAGUCCCCUAAAAUAGAACGUGCCGAAAGAGCUAUGGUACGUCGCAUGAGAAAUAGUUACUCAAACAUUAUGACUUUUCACGUACAUAUAUAUACUUCAGGGAGUUGUAGAUGGCAUCUAAUGCUUUAAACUCUUGUUUAAAAAUUUCUAGCAUUGAGUUUUCAGAGACAAGUCCGUGUUGGACUAAGGCCCAUGCAGUAACUUUUUAUGAAGCAAAGCUACAGACGCCCUGCAAGGACAAUUGUAGAGCUUAGGGCCCGUUUGGGAAACCCUCUUAUUGUAGUAACACUACAUAGUGAUCAUGCUAUGUUAUCAGUUCCUCUUCAGUAAUCAGAGCUCACAAUGGCAGUACUUAGAAAGUCAUAGAAGACGAUAAGAAGAGAGCAAUACAGAUACUCUGUGAGGAUCGGAUCAGCUUCGUGCCGAGACAAGGAAGAUAAGAUCAGAAAUGCCUGGGAACAAGAAAUAGAAUUUAAGGAUGCUCGAUAGAACAAAUUGAACAACAACAACAACAACAACAACAACAACAACAACAACAACAAAAGCAAGAAUGCUACUCACCAUUGUACUAUACCUAGCCGAAAUUUAUUCCUUGUGCCAAAGGUAGUUCACUUCCAUAGUUGAUUGUGCUGCAAAAUAUGGACGCUCGUUAUUUCAGCUCAGAAACCAAAACAAGAAAAAGAUACGCUUUGGUUCAUUUCGACCUUUCCUCAAAUAAUUGCAAAGAUAACGUUCAGAUACAAUAGCUAGACUGAUAUUUAGAUUCAACUUUCCAAAAUUAAGCUCUUAUCUUAAGCUUGACUCAGCUAAUUCACUUUGUGAAAACCAUGAAAUAUAAAGCGAAACAUUAUGAAGAUUGCUCAACUAAUAGGUUGUAGCCGAAAAGAAACAGCCAGAUGAUACCAAGAUUCAAGAGGCAAAACUAUUUUUGAAAUGGUUAGAAGGGUUUCAUGAUUUGCACGGGAUUUGGCUCUCCAAAAAAUUCUUAUUCCAGUCUACUGACAUUUAACCUAGGAAAACUUUUCAAAUAAACUUGCCCUGAAAGAGGUACCAAACAUUAAGAUGCUGCCCAAUUGCAACUUUACUUCGACAAUAGGCACUAUUAGGCACUAUGGUCAUGUUCACAGACGAACCUCUUGAGCAAUGGAAAGGUAUCAACAAGUGCAACCGAUAAAAGUGAUCCAAAGAACUUCAGCAGAAGUAAGAGAAUAUCAUGUUGCUUAACGCAACCAACAUUGGACAAUCCAAAUUGUCCGACUCCUACUCUGUCAUCAGAUUAACUGUCUUCUAAUUUCAACCACCCAGAUUCUAUCAACAAAAUCACAUCUAAGCCUCAUGCUAGUAAAGUGUGAUAUUAAUACUUAAUAUAGAUCAAAUUCUAC